CUUAAUGCAUUGAUUUCUGUGCACCCUGAAAGGUCUAGCUGUGUAACAGACCCCAGUCCAUGAUCAUCUGAUAACUUAUUCCCAACAAUGUUAAGCUUGUUACACUUAGUUAUGGAAAGAGAAGUAAGUUUGGUAUUACGCCAAAUCGAUGAAGACAACUCACGUAUAGCAGUGCCACGUAAGAAUAACUCUGUAAUUUCCUCCAAUGUAACCGAAAAUUCUGUGAGAGAUGAACAACCAUCCAGUAAGAGUUCACGAAGAGAUUUUGAAUGAAUGUUCGUUUUAAGGCUUUCAAUAGUAAUGCAACCUCCUAAAUCUAGAAAUGUAAGUCGAGGGAGAGAAAAGAUGGAUGGAUGGAGCUGACGCAAGCUUUCACAUUGACAGAGAGAUGCUCUUCCAAGAUUUGUAGCCCUAGAUAAGUCGGGGAUCUCAAUCAGAUCUUUGGAGUAAUUAAGGCAGAUUGUGAUUAGAUUUUACAAGAUUCUGUAACAAGAAAUAAACAUGCAUAAGUGUUGAUUAAAAGAGAAACAAAACCUAGUUAAGAAUAAAUAGAGGCAUGUCAUCCUAGCUCUGCUACAAUUUUGUGAAUAGCACGAGACUCCUCUUGUACCUUUAUAAAGUUAACAAGUAUAUCCAAACAUAUUUGUACCUGAACUCCAUCUCAGAGAUUUUUAAGCUUGCUAUGAGUCAUGCUAAGCUCUACAAGCAUUUCAGCACAAAAGUUUGAUGGAAAAGACUAAAGACAAUAUCCCUCCCAUUGAAGGUACCUCAAUUUAUCAGAAAGCCACUCGAGACCAUCAGGAAAAUGUACAUUGCAUAUGCUCCCGUUGGAUAUAUUAUGAAUCUUAAGAUAUCUUAAGUUUGCCAUCCUUCUAAAGGAAUCAGACUUCAAGUAUAGAUCCCCAACUUCCGUAGUAUCGAAUAUUAUACCUUCCACAACUUCAGUUCCCUGACAACAAAAAUUAGAUUAAUAAUUAGGAAAGGCUGUCAUAUGUACUUUCAUUGUUAUAUUUUAUAAUUACAUACAUAUAUUUUCAUAUAUAUAUAUAAGUGAUUGCAUCCUCUGCUUACCUUGUUUUCUUUUAAUAUAUCAGAUAUUUCUUUAGCUCUCCACAACCGACUUCGUUUUCCAGGGUUUAUAGAUUCUUGAUUAACAAUCUCCCGUCCCAUUUCUUGUAACAAAUCAUGCAUAUGUAAACUAUCAACUUCAAACUUGGCAUACGAGUGCCAAUUUGGUUUUACUUGUAUGAGAGCUUUAUCUAAAAGGACUUCUAUCCCACUUUCUGCAAAGAACUUACAAGCUUCCAACAAAUCUAUUAUAAAUAUUUUAUGCUCUCCUCUCAAAAAGCAUGCAAUAUCUAAAAAUAUGGCCUUUUAAAAAAAAUCUAAGUCAUCAUAACUGAAUUUUAACACGGUAUAAAUUUUCCUAUUUGGAAUCUUUUCGAGCUUUUUCAAUUCAUUUUCCCAUGCCUCUUUGCCUCUUGAGCGGAGAUUUUCCCCUAAAACUUUUAAAGCCAGAGGAUUGCCUUUGCAAUAGGCAAUUACACUUUCUGAUAGAUCUUCACAUCCAAUUUUAGACUGUUUUUCUCCGAAGGCAUUCAAACUGAGUAGCUGAAGAGAAUCAUGGUUGUUCAAUUCCUUGACCUCAUAUAUCUCACAUUUACUGAACUGACUAAAUAUGUGCUUAUCUCUAGUUGUCAUAAUGACCCUACUACCCGGUCCCAGCCCAUCAAUUUUUAGGAUAAGAUCUUCUAUUUGCUCUAAGGUUUCUCUGCCAUCCAACACAAUUAAAACUUUUUUACGUGAAAUCCUUCUCUUGGAGAAAGUGGCUUCUAUGUAGGAUGCAUCAGGAUGAAUAUUUUCCUCCUCUAACAAUGAGGAUAAAAGUUUAUUGUAUACAACAUUAUGUCCAUACCUGUUUGAUUCAUCAAUUACAUUGAGAAAGCAACAACCUUCAAAUUGAGAAUAAAUUAUAGCAUAUGAAGCCCUAGCAAGAGUGGUCUUUCCUAUGCCACCCAUGCCCCAUAUUCCAAGGACUCUAACAUCAUUUGAGCCAAUUUUCAGUAUUGACUCAAUUUGGUCAUAAUUUUUCUCAACUCCAACAAGCCCCUUAAUUUCACAUGGGUAUCUAAGAUUCAGUUUCCGCAAAACAUUUUUAACAAUGUCCUUAAUGAAGUCCGAUUCGAUCCUAGAAUAUGAACGAGGGGAAGAAGAUUUUACAAGUCUAACAAAUACAAUAGUAGAAAAGUACAUCUAUAUGAUUAGUAUACAAAAUUUAUAGUCAAUAAGGUGACAGUGGCUUAGUAGAGCAAGAAACAAACAAAAAUUAGAUUUGGGGAAACAAAAUACCAAAGACACAAGGUAAUAAAUGUAUAUUUUCUAUGACUUUGGUAGUUUUCAGAAGGUUGUGUCAACUAUUACUUUGGCCUGUUUAUUUUCAAAAAUUAUUUUUAGUGUUUGUUUUCUAAAAUUUAUGUUCAUUUCCAAUUAAGAAUAUGGAGAUGAAAGACUCAUGUAGUAAAUAGCUGUGCUAUAUUAGAAAACAAAACAUGUAAAUGAUAUGAAAUAGUUUAUUUAUUUUACUUCGAAUUUUUUCGUUUUGUUUACCUGUAAUUUUGAGAGUCCCAACCAACUAAACUAGCUGCCUCAGUGAGUGCAUCUUUCCAUUCCUGUAACUUGUCAUUAUUGCUCUUCAAAUCUCGCUUAUGUUUUGCGAAGGCUUGCUUGUAACUCCCAGUCUGCUUCCUCACAUGUGAUGGAUCUAUGUUGUAAAAAACAGGUAUCACAAUCUGUACCAUAUAUUUCUUGCAUUCAAGAAUCUUUUUGAGCUCAUUCAAGCACCAUUUUGAGGAAGCAUAGUUUUCUGAGAAGAUGACAAUAGACACAUGUGACUCCUCAAUGGCUCUGAUGAGUGCUGGCGAUAUCUUAUCUCCUUUUUGAAGCUCAUUGUUGUCUAUAAAGGUUUCAACUUUCUUUCGGCUCCGAGCAUCAUAAAGAUGGCAUGUGAAGUUUCUGCGGGUAUCCUCACCUCGAAAGCUAAGAAAAACGUCAUAUUUUUUCACAGAUGCCACAGAAGAAGAAAAAACACUGUUUGUUUGCUUCCUAGCCAUUAUGAAUUCCAAGCGCUGCGCUAAUCACAAUGCUACACUCAAACAUAAAAAAUAUUUGAUGUUUAAAUUUGUUCUCGGUUACUUUUUGUACUGGCACUCGUGAUAGUGUUACAUAUUGAGAUUUAUAAAUCAGAUUGACAUCAGAUCAGGCAGUUCAAAGUCCACAUAUUGCUCAUAUAUCGACCUAGGUAAUGUGUAUUUUUUGAUCUAGGAAAGCNACAAUUGUAAAUCCCGCCUUAUUUGCUUGACGACGCACCCACUCAAGCAAUUCAUCUCUAUCUUUCGACAUAACGUCGUCUGACAAAAAAACUAGCCGUGUCGACCUCGUGGGCUUGAAGUGGGAGGACACCGGAGCCGCCAACAUACUUUGAAGCUUCAACAUGGAAGGAAGCUCCAUCAAUGUUUGAUUUCGCUUCACUUUAGGCGGUUUGACAUCUCCGGAAAUUUCGACAAAAUUUUGUUUUGUCUCUCCCGAAACAUCUUCCGCGUUCUCUACCAUUACUAUAAUUAAACAACACAUAAAUAUGAAUUAACAACUAACUAAUGUAUAAACAUCAAUGCCAUAAUGAAUUAAAACAAAAAAACAAAAAAAAGAAUUUUUUUUUUGAAAAACUGGCAGUAGCUGCCAUUUUUUCGAUGUGAAAAUUUUUCACAAGAGUUCCUCGGCACCUUACUACCGAGGUUUUCCUCGGCACUACACUAUCGACGUUUUCCUCGGCAAUUAACUGCCGAGGAUUCCCAUGACAAGGUUCUAUGUAACUGACGUAGAUACCCAUAAAAUAGCCCAAAAAUCAAUCGAAUAAAAUGCACAAUACCUAUUUUUUACGUCAAAACUGUGUUGAUACCUCCUAUGCUUGAUGCUUGAAUGAUUUUGGAUCAAUAAUUGAUUAAAAAAAAUGGAUUUUGGGAUUGAAUAAUGGAGGUGGAAAUGAAGUUGAUGAAGAAAAUAGUGUGUAGGGGGAGCAGGUGGUUGUUUCAUCUGAUGAAACAUUCUCUCGGCAGUUAACUGCAGCCGGAAUUCAAAUUCCUCGGCAGUUAACUGCCGAGGGGGUAAAAUCGUAUUUUACUAGUGUGUCACAGCCUUAUCAAAUGUGGGAACAACAAUUCUCAUUUGUUUAAGGUGAUGGUGAAAAGAAGGUGAAGAAAGGGAGAAAUAAUUAGGUGUUUUUGACUCACCGUAAGAUAAAAUACACCUGUAUAAUUGAAUGAUCAUCUUUUUAAAAAAACAUAUCAAGGGUUUAAAUUAAAAAUUUUCAUAAGGUCUAUGGUGGACUACUUUUAAGAUUGAUUCACAAUAGACAUUUGGGGGUUAAACUUAACACCAAUGAUUUAUUUGGCAAACAGAAGAAAAGAUGAAGGACUUAAAGGUACGUUUUAUUAAUUUUGGGACCAAAAUGAAAAGUUAAAAUUAAUUAAGGGAUCAUUGGAUCAAAUAAACCUAACAUUAACCAAGAGGAAGAAAUUUCGGAUAACGUAUAACAAAUGAUGUUAAAGUGACGGAUUGCAUUACUAUCCAGUAACAAUAAGAUUAGCAGAAUUAAUAAUAGGAACGUAGUUUUAUAUUUGUUUGUUAUGUUCUGAGUAAUAAUAGAUAAUUUAGUUGUAUAUCCUUACAUAUAAAUAACUUCGUAUUUUUUUUUGUCAAUUGUUUAGUGGUUAAAACUCACACAUUUUUUAUUAAAAAAAAAAAAAAAACUAAGAUAAGAAAAUGGGGUUAAGAUGACCGGUUCCAAUCUACUUUCUAUCAACAAAAAAAUGGGUUUAUGCCCCGCUAAAUAAAAUAACAAUAAUAAAAUAAAUAUAAUAACCAUAUUAAUUAAUAAAUAACAAAGAUAAGAAAUGGGAUUAAGAAAGGAAGGAAGGAAAAAUCCAAAGUGUCUUCUAGGAGCAAAGGUGUCAUGACAUUAUUAUUAGUAUUUUAUGGAACAAUAUUUAGGGUAGCAUGCCUCAUUCUAGUUUAAGAAAAAAUUCAAGGUUCAAUAAAUGCUUGCAUAAAUACUUACAUACUAUUCAUUAAUUAAAUAUAAGUUGCAUUCUUACAAAAUUGCUGACAUGACAUUAUUCUUUAACAAGCAUACAAAGAAAUAUGACAUUAGAGAUAGUGACCCUUUAAGUAAAAAUAUGUACAUCCUCCGAUUAUAAAAAAAUUAAUAUUUUAUAUUCAUUCAUUAAAUUAUGUUUCAUUAAAUUAUGUAUGUGGUUAAUAAUAAAGACUAUAUACAUCAUUUAAUGAAUGAAUCUAAAAUGUUAAUUUUUGCCUAUAAUAAUAAUAUAAUAAUAAUCGGAGGAUGUAUUAUGAAUUUGUCAAUAUGCGUGGUCAGAUCAGAUGCAUAAAAAAUAAAACUUACAUUGUGAAUUCAAUUUCCUAUAUUAAAACUUACAGUGUGAAUCUAAUUUCCUGUAUUAAAACUUAAGGUGUGAAUCUAAUUUUCUAUAUUAAAGUAAAUAGUUGUUACAUGAGGUCCAUUUCUUUUUAUUUGUUUCUUACCAAUCAAUUUCAGUAACCUUUAAACAAAUGUCAUAUUGUUGAAUCGUGAACUUUCUUCACACGUUCAAUGGCUGGUCCAAUUGAGAAAAUAUUAAUGAAUACAUGCUUUGAUAAAUUAUUUAUCAAAAACUGAUUUAUAUACUUUUUAUACACAAGGAAUUGAGUUGGACAAACCCCUUCACUCCGACCUCAUCCCCCAACCUCUCUCACUGCCAAUUUCAAGUGUGUUUAGCUGAGAAAAAGUUAUGUAAUAUUUUGAGGAAAUUCAAAUUCUUUUAAAUAAAUUUUGUUUGUUUGAAUGAUUAAAUUUAGAGAAUUUAUCAUAUUAAUGAAAUUCUAUGAAGUAUUAUGUUAAGUUAAAUUGAGUGAAUUUCAAAUGAUAUCUAAGGUUUAAGAAUUUCAAAUUUCCUACUAGAUAUAUAUUUCAAAAUUUCCAAGUUGGUCCCCAUAUUUUUCAAAAAAAAUAAAUUGACCCUUAAAUAUUUAAAAUAAAUUGCAAAUUGAUCCUUACAAUUUCUUGAAAAUUAUAAAUUGACCACUUUCAAUUUUUGAAAUCUACAAAUCAGCCCUCUAUUUUUCAAUUUUCAAAUUUGGCCCAAAAUUUUAGAAUAUAUAAAAGUAAGUAGCACAAAAAUAUAACUGAAGUAUUUUAUCACUGUAUCCAAACAAAAAUAUUUAAAAAUAAAGGCAUCUAGCGUCGAUCAUCUCACAAGGUGUUGGGAUGAUUUAUACCGCCGCUUUGAAAAUUAGAACUCUAAGACUAAGAAGGAAAAGAUGAAGGGAACUUGCUACAAAUGGUAUUAUUAAUGUGGCUUGGUGGAACUCUUUACCCUUCUUUACUAGGGAUGACUUUUAUAAAGACCGCUAUGAAUUUUUAAAUUAUCGUUCUCCAUAUCUCUUUGUAUUUUAAUUUGGUUUAUGUUUUGGUUUGGUCCUCCUCUGGUACGGUUUUUCAUUUUUUCAAUAAAUUUUUAGAUCAAGCUGACAUAGGAUGUGGUGAUUUUGAAGUGUCAACAUAGUUGAGAUGUCAAACCUUCUUUUUCAUUGUUGGAGCUUAUGACUUCACCUCCAAUUGCUGAAGGCUGUAACUCAUUAUAAUUUUCCUGCCCACCAGAAUAUUGAGCACUGAAUUUUAAUUUACCAAUUUCCCUACCAUCCAGAUCUGACUUAUGUUCUAAGUUAUAUACAGGUAAGACCCCACACCCCUUUAUCCCCUCCGUUGACCACCACAAUUCUUCAUUGACAUCAUGAUCUGAAAUUAAUACAUGAUCUGAAAUUAAUGUCCCAAUAUAAUUGCAAGCAAAAGUAAAACACGUUUCAACUUCUUUGCCGUUUUCAAAGAUGACACAAUGCAGGGGGUGAUUGCAAAUAUGGAAGCCCUUAGAAAGAAUGGUGCAGAAUAUGAAACCAGACAGGUUAUAUUUUGGAAUAGGAGGAAUGGUUAUUGAAGCCUUUAUUGUUUGAAAAUCAAACUUGCGAGGAACUUGUGCUCCUGGCAAGAUAGAGAAAUAAAAAUCAUCAUGUUCAUUUGCAUGAAAAGGGUAUUUAGAGAAGAUUUGUACCAUGUUCUCAAGAAAUGACCGUUGAGUGGAGUCUGUGUCCAGAUAAGUGCAAUUAAUGGCACUCAAAGAUAAUAGGGAUGGCGGAAGCUCUGUUACAGACACAAGUUUCCUGCAAUCAUCUAAAGCUAGACUUUUUAGCAUUGAAUGGUUUUGUAUGUUCUCGGGGAGACAUUCCAUGUUGCAACACUCAUGCAAUGAGAGCCAUUUUAAAGACUGUAUGCCAUCAAGGAUAGACCACAGACUUAAUGCAUUGAUUUCUGUGCACCCUAAAAGGUCUAGCUCGGUAACAGACCCAAGUCCAUGAUCAUUUGUUAACUUAUUCCCAACAAUGUUAAGCUUGUUACACUCGGAUAGGCCAAGCGAAGUAAGUUUUCUGUUACGCCAAAUCGAUGAAGACAAUUCACGUAUAGCAGUGCCACCUAAGGUCAACUCUGUCAUUUCAUCUGAUGUCACCGAAAAUUCUGUGAGAGAUGCACAACCAUCGAGUAAGAGUUCACGAAGAGAUUUUGAAUGAAUGUUGGUUUUAAGGCUUUCAAUCUUUUUGCAGUCUCGUAAAUCUAGAUAUCUAAGAUCAGGGAGAGAAAAGAUGGAAGGAUGGAGCUGACCCAGGCUUUCACAUUGAAAAAGAUAUACUCUAUGAAGAUUUGUAGCCUUAGAUAAGUCUGGGAUCUCAAUCAGAUUUUUGGAGGAUUCAAGCCAAAGUAUGUUUAGAUUCACAAGAUUCUGUAAAAAGAAAUAAAAACACCAUUUAAAUUCAUAAAUAGAGAAACUAAACCUAAUUAAGCAUAAAUAGAGACUUUUUAAGAAUGAGCAUUAGACUUCCUCUCAUACUUCAACAAAUUAACAAGUAUAUCCAAACACAUUUGUACCUGAACUCCAUCCCAUAGCUUUUUAAGCUUGCUAUGACUCAAGUGAAGCUCUAUGAGCAUUUCAGCACAAAAGGUUGAUGGCAAAUACUCAAGACAGUAUCCUUCCCAUCGAAGAUACCUCAAUUUAUCAGAAAUCCACUCAAGACCAUCGGGAAAGUACACAUUGCACGUGUUUCCUCUAGAUUUAUUAUAGAUUUUAAGAUAUCUUAAAUUUGUCAUCCUUCUAAAGGAAUUAGACUUCAAGUAAAGAUCCCCCACAUCUGUACUAUCGAAUGUUAUCCCUUCGACAGCUUUAGUUCCCUGAUAAAAAUUAAAUUAAUAAUUAGGAAUGGUUGUCACGUAUACUUUCCUUGUUAUAUUUCAUAAUCAAAUACAUGUGUUAUUUUCAUGUAGAAGUGCUUGCAUCCUCUACUUACCUUGUUAUUUUUCAAUACAUCAGAAAUACAUCAGAUAUCUCAUCAGCUUUCCACAGUCGACUUCGUUUUCCAGGGUCUUCAGAUUCUUGAUUAACAAUUUCCCGUCCCAUUUCUUGUAACAAAUCAUGCAUUUCUAUAAUACAAACUUCCCAUUUGACAUGCAAAAUUGAACCUAGUUGAAUGAGAGCCUUAUCUAGAAGGACUUCUAUCCCACUUAUUGCAAAGAACUCACAAGCUUCCAAUAGAUCUCUUACAAAAGUUUUAUCUUUUCCAUUCAACAAGCAUGCGAUGUCUAGAAAUAUGGCCUUCUGACAAUGAUCUAAAUCAUCAUAACUCAAUUUUAACACAUCAUAAAUCUUUCGAUUGGGAAUCUUUUGGAGCUUUUUCAGUUCAUUUUCCCAUGCUUCUCGGCCCCUUGAACUGAGAUUUGCACCUAAAACUUUUAAAGCCAGAGGGUUACCUUUGCAAUAGGCAAUUACACUAUCUGAUAGAUCUUCAUAUCCAGUUUUAGGAUGUUUUUCUUUGAAGGCAAUCAAACUGAAUAGCUGAAGAGAAUCAGGCUUCUCUAAUUCCUUAACCUCAUAUAUUUCACAUUUACUCAACUGACUAAAUAUCUGCUUAUCUCUAGUUGUAAUAAUGACCCUACUACCUGGUCCUAGACCAUCAAUUUUUAGGAUAAGAUCUUCUAUUUGUUCUAAGGUUUCUACACCAUCCAAAACAAUUAAAACUUUUUUACGCCCAAUCCUUCUCUCGGAGAAAGGGGCUUCUAUGUAGGAUGCAUCAGGAUGAAUAUUUUCUUCCUCUAACAAUGAAGACAGAAGUUUAUUGUGUAGAACAUUGAGUCCAUACUUGUUUGAUUCAUCCAUUACAUUGAGGACGCAACGACCUUCGAAUUGGGAAAAAUGUUUAGCAUAUAAUGUCUUAGCAAGGGUGGUCUUUCCUAUCCCACCCAUGCCCCAUAUUCCAAGUACUCUGACUUCAUUUGACCCAAUUUUCAGCAUUGAUUCAAUUUGUUCGUAAUUUUUCUCAAUUCCAACAAGCCCCUUAAUUUCAUAUGGGUACCUAAUAUUCAGUUUCCGCAAAACAUCUUCAACAAUGUCUUUAAUGAAGUCUGGUUCACUCCUAACAUAUGAAAGAUGGGAAGAAUGUUUUACAACAAAAGAAAAAUGCAUUCAUAUAUAUGAUUAGGACAUAAUAAAAUUUAUAUUCAACAUGGUGGCAGAGUAGAGCACAUAAAGAAAAUCAAUUACGUAAGACACAGAAGAUAAUUAAUGUCUUAUUUUUUUAGGAAGUGAAAUCCUAAAGAAAAUUCCAAAAAAUUGUAUAGAUUUUAAAAAAAUUGUAUGAUAACUAUGGCCAGGCACAUCAACAUCAUUGUUUACUUUCUAAAGUUAUUAUUAGCUUUCAUUUUCUCAAAUUUAUGUUCAUUUCCAAUCACGAAUAUGGAAAUGAAAAACUUGUGUAGUAAAAAAUUGUGCUAUAUUAGAAAACAAAACUUGCAAAUCAUAGGAUAUAGUUUAUUGAUUUACUUAGGAUAGUUCGUUUUACUUACCUAUAAUUUCGAGAGUCCCAACCAACCAAAUUAGCUGCCUCGGUGAGAGAAUCUUUCCAUUUCUUCAACUUGUCAUUAUUGUGCUUCAAAUCUUGCUUAUGUUUUGCAAAGGCUUGCUUGUAACUCCCGGUCUGCUUCCUCACAUGUGAUGGAUCUAUGUUGUAAAAAACUGGUAUCACAAUCUGUUGCAUAUAUUUCUUGCAUUCAAGAAUCUUUUUGAGCUCAUUCAAGCACCAUUUUGAGGAAGCAUAGUUUUCUGAGAAGAUGACAAUAGAUGCAUGUGACUCCUCAAUGGCUUUGAUGAGUGCUGCCGAGAUCUCAUCUCCUUUUCGAAGCUCAUUGUUGUCUAUAAAUGUUUCAACUUUCUUUCGGCUCAAAGCAUCAUAAAGAUGGCUAGUGAAGUUUCUGCGAGUAUCCUCACCUCGAAAGCUAAGAAAAACGUCAUAUUUUUUCUGAGGCACCACAUCAGAAGAAACUAUAGAGGAAAAGGCACUGCUCAUUUUCGGCACGGCAGUUAUGAAUUCCAAGUGCCUGCACUGAUUAGGCCACUAAUCACAAUGCUACAAUAAAAAAGAAGUAAUGUUUAAUUAGAGAAAGUAGUAGAUAAAUUAAAAUUGAGGGAAAAAAGAUUAUACGUACCAAAGUCAGAAUCCAGCUUCAUGCAAUAGAGGAGAAGAAUACUGUAAAAGUUAUAAUCCAGCUUCCGGAAUUAAUUUUGGAUGAGCACACACAAACUCUUCAUAAUGCUUUGGUUGGUCAUGAUGUAUAUUGUAUAUAGAUGUAAUGUGUGGUUAUCCUUCAAGGAAGUUUCGUUUGCUUAAACAUUGUGUUUGGUAGAGGUGAUUUAUGAGAGAGAAAUAGGUGAGAGAGAGAGAUACAAGAGAAAUGUUGUAUUUCUUCAGUUUGCUAAUAUUAUGUUUUAAAAAAUAAUUUGUUAGUUGUCAUUAACUAUUCUGUUAUCAUUUGAAUAGGAGGAAUAUGACCGACAACUUGCCGAGGCUCUUUCUAAAGGGUUAACUGUUGAUCAUAGUUUGGCCCUCCAAAUUUGGACCAAAGUUGCUGGCGAUAAAACCAAAGGAAAAUUAUAUGGUGCCGGUAACUUGACCGCUAACUACCGGAAGGGUGUUGCAACAACCCUCAGAUUUACCCUUAAUCAUGGCGAAGGAUCCUCCCAGCAGCCUGCACUGACCCCUGAGAUGCAUGACCUUAUUCAAAGAUUGACUCAAGAGCAGCUCACCCAGCAAAUGGCGAGACAUGAGGCCGUUGUACAAGAUUUGCUUAGCCGCCAACGAACAUAUGAGGAGCAACUGGCUCAAUUUCGGCAAGCACAUGAGGAUGGGAAUUCAAGUCAGCAAGCGUCAGUUCCAGAUCCCAAUGUAGAGCCUUUUCCAAUUUAUGGCGAAGGUGGAAGCGAAGGAAGCAAGGAGAUUGAGAGCGAUGAUGAGGAGUGAAGUUGGACCCUUAUGAUGUGUUCAUGCAUGUUAUUUUAUUUUGCUUUUAUUAUCUAUGGUGUGUAAUAUUUGGGAAAGUUUGUUAUGCUUCGUGAUACAAUUGCUACUUAUUUGCUACUUAUGGUCUAUAACAUUAUUCCCUAUGAUUUUAAUUUCAUUACUGUUGGACUUAAUAUUUUGUGGGUGCUAUUACUUUAAUUUUUAUUCUUAACUACUUAUUUUAAAGCAAUUAAAUUAAAAAAACCAUGUGUUUUAAAUUAUUUUAAAUGAUUUUAAAAUAAUGAAAUUAAAAAAAGCAAUUUAAAAUCGUUUUUAAAUUUAUUUUAAUAAUUAAUUUUAAUUAUUUUAAUGAAAUUAACGUUUUUAAAAAACAAUUAAAAACCAUUUUUUAAAAAAAUUAUCUCUGCAAUUUGCCAGGGGUAUACCCCUUGCAAUACUCCUGUCAUAUUUUGGGUCAGACUGCAGCUGAUUGACAGCGCGUAAGUUCUGCAGUGCGUCAGAAAAGCCUGCAGUGCGUCAGGUAAGCAGGUUGUUGAGUCAGACAAUUAGUCAGGGCCCUGCCAGGGGUUUUUCCAGGAGUUAUAAGAGGGGUUUAGACAGGAGUGUGUCCCACGCAGAUUUGCAGCCCUGGCAUAGCAAUUUGCUAUGAGCGCAUUUGCCACUGAUUCAACUCCUCACAAAAGCCCUGGCAAAUGGCUUUUUCCCAGGGAUUCUUGCAAUUUCACAAGGAAUCCACCCCUGGCUAAUUGCAGGAUUUCUUGUAGUGUUCAAUUGUUUUUCUCUGCUAUUCUCCCUUGUUCAUAAUUGUGGUUCAAAGUACCAAAGGGAAUGGAUUAGGUAUGACAAUUUAUCAUUAAAUAUUCCAAUUUAAUAAAUGACACAUGUUGAACAUUAUUUGUUGCAUUACUUAAUAACUCUCGGAUGCCAUGCCUCAAAACACAAAUGAAUCAAAUGAUGGUAGUAUUUGGCAAAUAAUUUAUAAUAAUAUCUAGAACGAAAUUUGUUUCUUUAAUUAAUAAGACCUCCAUUGCUGCAAGUGGCAAAGUACUUGGAUCAAUUCAUUGGUUCAGGUUGUAAGGCAUUUGAUCCUUUUUAGCAAGUGAUCAAAGGUUUGAUCUCUGACUCUUGUAUAUGAAAAAAAGAAUCCAAUUAGAAGUAGAGAACUCAUCUUGUAUAUCUCACGGGUUCUCUGACGCAGAUUAAUCACCGCUAAAAUUCUUGUGUUUCUUAUCAACAUUUUCUCAUAACAAUAAGCAUUUUCCAUCAUGUUAAGUCCUUUUCUAUUUAAAAAUGAUCUGCAAUGCUAGGGAGAAUGAUAGAUGGUAAGAAACAUGGAAGUUCCCAACUUCCAAAAGAUCCUACUGAAAGGCAAUAAAUAAGCCUAUGGGUGCUCAAAUAUUGUUCUGAAUGAAAGCAAGUUGAUUACCAAAUAAACUACCCUCCCCAAGUGGAUAGCAUAGGGGCAAGUUCCCAAAUUCAAAUACAUGAAACUAGGAUUAUGUUAAUGAAUACCGAUGUGAUUACUGCAAAACGAAGAAGAACGACAAGUCAUUUAGUUACAAAGCAGAUGUUUGAAGAAAGAGGAGUUCAAGUACCAAGAAACACAACAGAAAACAACUGCAUAAAUUUAGGAAGUUUUCUGCCAUGGUAAAAGUAACAAGCAACCUAUCAUUGCACAGCUUGAUAUCACCAGUCUACUGCAUCAACACAUACUGUUGAGUGAAUGUAAUGAUGUUGUGCUCAUUUUACUUGGGAAACAGGAGAAAGAGACCAAAAAACAUUUCUGACUUCUAUUAUUCUUUUGAUCGUUUUAACAAGUGCCUCAUCAAAGAACCUGUCCAAUGUUAUUGCAACAAGACGAAUAUUAUUUUCUAGAAUCACAAGAUUUUUGAAACAAUUCUUCAUUUUGAAGAUUUUUCAAUUAAAAAAAAAACUAAUAUGGAAUGUAUAACUAGAGAGUGGGUUUUGAGUUUCAUACCUAUUGAACAAGAAGGUUGUUCUUGGUAUUCUUCAUUAUCAUUGUUAGAGCUUCCGACUUCACCUUCAAUUUUUCUUGGCUGUCAUCAAUAUCAUUUUUCAAAUCAAAAUCAAAUUCACCAGAGUCCUGAGCACUGGAUUUUAAUUUUGAUUUAACUAUUUCCUCACGACUACUACUUAUAACAUACAGCUCCGACUCACUUUUCAAGUCAUAUACAGGUAAGACUCCACACCCCUUUAUCCCCUCUGUUGACCACCACAAUUGUUCCUUUUGACCUUGAAGUAGGAACUGAAAUGAUAGGUUGCAAAAGUCAUGACUUCCAGUUUCUUGUUUGUUGUAACCAUUCCAGCAUAUCAAUACAUGAUCUGAAAUUAAUGUCCCAAGAUAUUUGCAACUAAUACGACAUCUGUCGACUUCUUUGCCAAAGUUGCAUGCAACUUCUACACCUGACAAGAGAGAAAAAUGACGAACACCAUCUUCAUCAGGAGUGUCUUUAGAGAAAGUUCGUACCAUGUUCUCAAGCAAUAACCGUUGAGUGGAGUUCAUAUCCAGAUAAUUGCAGUUAACAGCUGUCAAAUAUAACAGGGAUGCUGGAAGCUCUGCUAGAGACACAAGUUUCCUGCAAUCAUCUAAAUCAAGCCAUUUUAGGAUUGAAUGGUUUUGGAUAUUCUCGGGGAGACUUUCUAAGUUGCAGCACUCAUUCAAUAUUAGCUGUUUUAAAGAUUGUAUGCCAUCAAGGAUGGACCAAAGACUUAAUGCAUUGAUUUCUGUGCACCCUGAAAGGUCUAGCUUUGUAACAGACCACAGUCCAUGAUCAUCUCUUAACUUAUUCCCAACAAUUUUAAGCUUGUUACACUCAGAUAGGCCAAGCCAAGUAAGUUUGCUAUUGCGCCAAAUCGAUGAAGACAAUUCACGUAUAGCAGUGCCGCCUAAGGUCAACUCUGUCAUUUCCUCCGAUGUCACCAAAAAUUCUGUGAGAGUUGAACAACCAUCGAGUAAGAGUUCACGAAGAGAUUUUGAAUGAAUGUUGGUUUUAAGGCUUUCAAUCUUUUUGCAACCUCGUAAAUCUAGAUAUCUAAGAUCAGGGAGACAGAAGAUGGAAGGAUGGAGCUGACACAGGCUUUCACAUUGAAAAACACUCCAUGAAGAUUUGUAUCCUUAGAUAAGUCUGGGAUCUCAAUCAGAUCUUUGGAGGAUUCAAGCCGGAGUAUGUUUAGAUUCACAAGAUUCUGUAACAAUAAAUAAACAUGACAUUGCUUAGAAACCAUUAAAUCCAUAAUUAAGCAUAAAUAGAGACUUCUUAAGAAUGUGCAUCAGACUUCCUCUCAUACCUAAAUAAAUUAACACGUACGUAUAUCCAAACACAUUUGUACCUGAACUCCAUCCCAGAGCUUUUUAAGCUUGCUAUGACCCAUGUGAAGCUCUAUGAGCAUUUCAGCACAAAAGGUUGGUGGCAAAGACUCAAGGCAGUAUCCCUCCCACAUAAGGAACCUCAAUUUAUUAGAAAGCCACUCAAGACCGUCGGGAAAGUGCACAUUGCAUGUUCUCCCAUUAGAUAUAUUAUAGAUUUUAAGAUAUCUUAAGUUUGUCAUCCUUCUAAAGGAAUCAGACUUUAAGUAAAGAUUCCCAACUUCUGUACUAUCAAAUGUUAUACCUUCCACAACUCCCGUUCCCUACCAAACAAAAAUCAGAUUAUUAAUUAGGAAAGGAUGUAAUAAAUGUUUGCUUGUUAUAUUUCAUAACCACAAACAUGUGUUUUCAUAUGGAAGUAAUUGCAUUGUCUACUUACCUUGUUUUUUUUCAAUACAUCAGAUAUUUCUUCAGCAUUCCACAAUCGACUUCGUUUUCCAGGGUUCUUAGAUUCUUGAUUAACAAUCUCUCGUCCCAUUUCUUGUAACAAAUCAUGCAUUUCUAUACCAUCAACGUCCGACUUGACAUAAACAUGCCAUAUUUUUUUUAGUUGUAUGAGAGAUUUAUCUAGAAGGACUUCUAUCCCACUUACUGCAAAGAACUCACAAGCUUCCAAAAGUUUUCUUACGAAAGAUUUACUCUCUUCUCUCAGCAAGCAUGCGUUGUCUAGAAAUAUGGCCUUUUGACAACAAUCUAAGUCAUCAUAACUCAAUUUUAAUACAUUGUAAAUUUUCGUAUUGGGAAUCUUUUGGAGCUUUUUCAAUUCAUUUUCCCAUUCAUCUUUGCCUCUUGAACUCAGAUUAGCACCUAAAACUUUUAAAGCCAGAGGAUUGCCUUUGCAAUAGGCAAUUACACUCUCUGAUAGAUCUUCAUAUCCAAUUUUAGGAUGUUUUUCCUUGAAGACAGUCAAACUGAAUAGCUGAAAAGAAUCAUGAUUAUUCAAUUCCUUAACCUCGUAUAUUUCACAUUUACUGAACUGACUAAUUAUGUGCUUAUCUCUAGUUGUAAUAAUGACCCUACUACCGGGUCCCAGCCCAUCAAUUUUUAGGAUAAAAUCUUCUAUUCUCUCUAAGGUUUCCACGCCAUCCAAUACAAUUAUAACUUUUUUAAGCGCAAUCCUUCUUUCGGAGAAAGGGACUUCUAUGUAGGGUGCAUCAGGAUGAAGAUUUUCUUCCUAUAACAAUGAAGAUAAAAGUUUAUUGUAUACAACAUUGAGUCCAUACUUGUUUGAUUCAUCCAUUACAUUGAGGAAGCAACGACCUUCGAAUUGGGAAUAAAGUUUAGCAUAUAAAGUCUUAGCAAGGGUUGUCUUUCCUAUGCCACCCAUGCCCCAUAUUCCAAGGACUUUAACAUCAUUUGACCCAAUUUUCAGCAUUGAUUCAAUUUGUUUAUAAUUUUUCUCAAUUCCAACAAGACCCUUAAUUUCAUAUGGGUAUCUAAGAUUUAGUUUCCUUAAAACAUCUUCAACAAUGUCCUUAAUGAAGUCCACUUCAAUCCUUGCACAUGAAGGAAGGAAAGGUCUUACAAGUCUAACAAAUACAAUAGAAGAAAAAUACAUCUAUAUGAUUAGUAUACAAAUUUGUAGUCAACAUGGUGGCAUUAACAUCUAUUUUUUCUACGAAGUGAAAUCCUAAAGAAAUUCCAAAAAAUCAAAAAUCAAAAAAAGGUUUUUAUGCUACCCAAACGAUAAGAUGAUGUAUUCUUUGUAUUUAGAUUUAAGAGUAUCAAUUGAGUGAUAAGUGUAUGCAGGGUACAAGAAUAUGUUGACUUUGAAGACUCCUACCCUCUUCCCAAUAGUAAAUAACUGUGCUAUAUUAGAAUACAAAACAUGCAAAUGAUAGGAAAUAGUUUAUUGAUUUUACUUUGAAUUUUGGAAACAUACAAGUGAUGAACAUAUCCAAAGCUGGAUAGUUUGUUUUAUUUACCUAUAAUUUUGAGAGUCCCAUCCAACUAAAUUAGCUGCCUCAGUGAGAGAGGCUUUCCAUUUCUCCAACUUGGCAUUAUUGUGCUUCAAAUCUUGCUUAUGUUUUGCAAAGGCUUGCUUGUAACUCCCGGUUUGCUUCCUCACAUGUGAUGGAUCAAUGUUGUAAAAAAUAGGUAUCACGAUCUGUUCCAUAUAUUGCUUGCAUUCUAGAAUCUUUUUGAGAUCAUUCAAACACCAUUUUGAGGAAGCGUAGUUUUCUGAGAAGAUGACAAUAGACACAUGUGACUCCUCAAUGGUUUUGAUGAGUGUUGGUGAGAUCUCAUCUCCUUUUUGAAGGUCAUUGUUGUCUAUGAAGGUUUCAACUUUCUUUCGACUCAAAGCAUCAUAAAGAUGGCUUGUGAAGUUUCUGCGAGUAUCCUCACCUCGAAAGCUAAGAAAAACGUCAUAUUUUUUCGGAGGCCCCACAUAAGAAGAAGAUAUAGAGGAAAAAGCACUGCUCAUUUUCUGCGCGGCGGUUAUGAUUUCCAAAUGCCUGCACUAAGCCACUAAUCACAAUGCUACAAUAAAAAAAAGUAUUGGGCUUCAUAAAUUUGAUUAUCAUUUGGAAUCAUUUUUGGCAGCAUAACAAAAAGAAUGGCAACAUUCAAAGCGAGCCUAACAAAAAUAAGGCAAAUUCUAUAUUACACCCAAUAUAUUUGAGUGUAUCGGUACAUCCACUCUUUAAAUUAAUAGUUAAAUGAGUUUUUUUUUGAAGAAAAAUAUUAUUUUUUAUCAUUUAUUAUUAUAAUAACUAAAUCUUAUUCAUAAAAAAUAUCAACAAAAUAAAAUUAUUAUUUUUUGAAUUUUUAUUGCUCAUAAUUUAUAACAUUUAUUAUUUUUUACGAUAAUAUGUAAAAAAAAAUACUAUGAUUGUCAUAAACAAUGAAAUGAUUUUUUUUUUUUUUAUGAACUGAUGUUAUAUAAAAUAUAACUAUUGACAAAGAGCUAUUUAUUACAUAAAAAAUUAUCGUUAAUUUAUAAAAUUAUGAAGAAGGAGUACCGGUACACCUCACUUUGUGAGUGUACCGUAGAAGUUUCCCAACAAAAUAAUUACAAUAAUAUAGAUGAAUGUCUUGAGACAAUUUAUUUUUGGCGAUUACUUUCUCCACCCUAUAAGGUUCUCACACGUCCUUUUUUUUUUCUUUCCAAAUUGCCCCUUAGAUUUUAGAAAAUGAAAACCAAUUCCAAAUAUAAAUUCCGAAACAUUUCGCUUUAUAAAAGCAAGAUCAGCAACUUCCACCAUUUUACAGUUUUAGUUUUACAAUUUCACUUUCUCUCUCUCUCUCUCACCGAUCCCAUAAUCCUAAAAUAUUGGUCCAAUCUUUGAGUUUUUUUUGCUCAAAAUCAUCACAUUUGAAGCUUUAUCAAACCCCAUAGUGAAGGUUAGGUCUCAUUCCAUCUGCAUACAAGCCUUUGAGUUCGAAUAUUUUUUUUGUGGCAACUGAAUAUGUUUGGAUUAUAAAAUCCAAACUGGAUUGUUGAAGUUCAGAUUUUAUAAUCUGAAGUGUACCUGUAGGCAGAUUUUUGGACAAUUUUGUGGAUUUAUAUUGAUUGCGUUUUACCUGGUUAUGCAUGUUACAAGCAUGGAUCGUGUUGGGCGCACCGUGGGUGAUGGAGAAGCAAUGCAUGUUUAUGUUUGGAGAGAGCGUUUGGAGAGGUUGCAAGCGGAGGGGAGAGUGCCCAGGCGUGGCAAGGGCAGGGAAAGGGCACGCCGUGGUGAUGCUGAUGGCGAGGGAACAUCUCAGGGGAACUAUAUUGAGCUUGAGCCACAGAGGGAGAUAAGAGAAGGUGGAGGGUGAUGUUGAGCAACAGGAGGAGGGUGAUGAAGAGCAGCAUGAGCGUGUGCAGCCAAAGCCAAAGGAGCUUGAUCACUAUCUUGGUGGCCCACACGACUUGACUGUGCUGACCAAGUACCAUGUUCACGUGGUCAGGAUGGCAGUUGAUGAAGUGGUAAGACACUGCACCUUUAAUUUAAUGAAAAUUGAAUUUUUAUGUUUAAUUAAUAAUAAUUGUAAACUUUUUGUUAAUUUUUGUCAUGUAUUAUUUCGAUUACUGUGAAACUGAUGUUAAUUUUUUGUUUUAAAUUUUAGCAGUGCGGUGACAAUUUAAAAUGUGUAAACAACAGGAAGAAGAUAGAAGCGAUACAUAAACCAAAGGUUUAAAUGUAUUUCAUCCUUGCAAUUAAGGGUCGUUUAAAAAUUGGUCCCUGUAUUCGCUAAUCCUUGCAAACUAGCCUUGCAAUAAUUAAUCAUUUAAAAUUUCGUCCUUUGACCAACUUAAUCACUGCCACGUCACUAAUUUGAUGACGUGGCAAUCACUAUCACACAUGAAAUUCCAAUUUUUCUCUUAAGAAGAGGACAAAAUAUUGAAGAAAGAAUUAGAAACUCAGGGGUAAAAUUGGAAUUUCAUGUGUGACAGUGAUUGGCACGUCAUCAAAUUAGUGAUGUGGCAGUGAUUAAGUGGGGAGAGGGACGAAAUUUUAAAUGAUUAAACAAUGCAAGGGUAAAUUGCAAGGAUUAGCGAUUACAGAGACCAAUUUUUAAACGACCCAUAAUUGCAAGGAUGAAAUACAUAUUUAAGCCUAAACCAAACAAGACUCUGAUGGCAAGACUGUGUGGUUUAAGCAUGGGCUGAAAGUCACUGGUCUUCGGUGGCUGCAGGAUAUCAGCUACAGCCAGAUUGAACACGGGCUUUGUUCUGCAAUUGUGGAGAGAUGGCACGAGGAGACAUCGAACUUUCAUCUUCCGUUUGGGGAUAUGAUAGUGGCACUGGAUGAUGUGUCAUGUUUGCUGCAUCUCGCCAUCGAGGGUAUGCUCUUGUCCUAUGAAAGUAUGUCAAGGGGUGAUGUUGUUGAGUUGUUGAUGGAAUUGUUGAGGGUUGAUGCGGGCGAGACAUGGACCGAGGUGGAAAAGAAAAAAGGUGGACAUGCACGGUUUAACUUCUUGAAGGAUAUAUACUUUCAAGGAGCAUGUUCGGGAGGCACAUGAGGUCUACCAUGCUGGUCAGUUUGUUGAGAUGCAGCAGCGGGAGUAUUUUCCAACAGAAGGUAUGGCCUAAACUAAUUUUAUCAAUUUAUUUAUUUCAAAUUCUAUGAUCAAUUUGAAAAUGACCUAUGUAAUUAGAGAAACUAGCAGUUAAAUUAAAAUUGAGGGAAAAAAGAUCAUACCAAAGUCAGAUCAAUCCAGCUUCAUGCAAUAGAGGAGAAAAAGACAGUAUGGCUUAGCUUCUGGUGGAAUCAAAUUUGGAUGAAAAUUAAUUAAGGAUAAACACACACAAACACUUCAUAAUGCCUUGGUCCUGAUGUAUAUACAUGUAAUGGGUCAAAUUUAAAAUAUAAAAUAACAAGUGUGGCUUAGCUUGCUUCCUUUUUGAUGGAGACUACUAGAUAAACUAUGGAAUUGGAUUUCAGAUUAAAAUAUAUGCAAAAUUAAGCUUGUUGUCCUUCAAUUUUGAGUCAUUUUUCAGAUUAUACCUAUUCACGUAUGUAAACACAAGUUAAUUACAAUAGGUGAGUUGCUGAGUGAAAUGUCUUAGGUGCAAUUCCAAGAACAAUUAGAUUAUACCUAUUAAGCUUGUUGUCCUUUAAUUUUGACUAUUUUUCAGAUUAUACCUUUUAGUUUUUCUUUCUUCCUUGAAUAGUUUCUUCAAAUAUUUAUAAUUACCAACAGAAGGUAGAGCCUUGGACUUAUACAAUAUAUAAGUGGCUUAGAUGUAUUCUUGUCUUUCGUUGGUCUAUGAAAUCGUAAAAACAAACACUUUCGUAUAUUUAAUUAAAUUUAAAGGUAAAGUAAAACAUUAAAUUAAUUUUAAAAUCCCUCCCCUCGUGAACCACAUCAAUUAAUGUUUUUAUUUUUUGUGGAAUUUCUAAAUGUUUUAAUUGAUUAGUUUUUUUUUUAAAGAAUGUUUUGAUUGAUUAGUUGUGUAUGUACAAAGCUGUUUUAGACCGUCGACUCGUUAAUCUUAAACCCUUAACAAAAACUGAUUUAGACCGUCGACUCGCUAAUCAAACCAAGUAAUUAAAUUAAAAAAUUACUUUCUGUUGGAGAAAAGAUACUAUUUGGAAUAUGCAUUGGAAAUAAUGAGUAGCAGAGAGAUUACAAACACUAUAUUAUUUUGUGGGAAAACCAAGAUCUUUGAUCUGUAUCAUUUAAAAAGGAAAGACCAUUAACAGAACCAUUAUUAUUCUUCUUAUCUUUAUUUCUUAUGACUCAAAAUCAUGAAACUCAAGUAGCUACUGCAAUAGGGAGAAAAAGAGGAAGAAGACCGACAAUUCAUUUAAUGACGAAGCAGAAGAUGUUAGAAGAAAGCAGCAUUGCUAUCUUCAAUGAUCAAGAACAUUGACACUGUGAUGUGAUCCUAAAAUUCUCUCUCUUGACAAGAAUAAUAAAGUCAUUGUAGAAUAAAAGAACCAAAUUAAUUUUGGGUUCAAAGUUUUAUUUUCGUAGGUCAUUAUAUGUCUGUCUUGUUUUGGCUAUAUCUGGAGCUCUGGAUAUCCGUUUGAGGUGAUCUUUAACUCGUUGGAAAGCUUACGAAAUUCUCUACAUUUCAUCUGUUUGAUUCAAGAGCAAAUUCGGAAUAUUUAAUGGUGCAGAAUGAGCUGUAGGUAGAAGACGUGGUUAAAGUAUGUUAGCUGAAGAAUUAAAGGUGGUGUUUGUGGAAUUGUAACGUCUAGCCAUAAUAAGCCUUCACAAAUCAAUGUGCAAAUGAAUAUGUAACCUUCUCAUGCAUUGAUCAACCACCAACUUUAAAGAUCCAAUUAAAUUGUAACCUCUUUUGUAAUAACUAGCCACCUAGGAAUUAUAACACUAAUUAUGCUAUGAUUGUAAGUUUUUCAGCUUCCAAGCCUAUUUCCUAUAAAAAGGGGGCGAAAAUAAUGAAGGGGACAAGUUGAAUUUAAAAAAAAUAAAAAAUAAAUAGAGAAUUUUAGGAUCACAUCACACUGCUAAGGAAAAUGAAUGGGGAUCUUUACACAAAAUUAUGAAACGCUGCAAACCUGGUUAUAGCUGACUACUUAUACCAACAAUAAAAACAGGAUCAGAUUGAUUAAUACCAGCAAUCACAGCACAGAACUGCUGAAUAAAAUUAGGAAUACUUCUGCAAAGGUAUAAAUUAUAAAGUUUAAAUAUGCCUUUAGUCCUUGCACUUUUAUCAGAUUUUGGCAUUGGUCCCUACACUUUUUUUUGUUUGGAAUUGGUCCCUGCACUUUGUAAAAAUAUUGGUAUUGGUCCCUGCACUUUGUAAAAAUAUUGAUAUUGGUGCCACGUGGCGUGAAAUGAUUGGGCCACGUGGCACUCCGUUGAUUUUGUGUUUUUUUUUUUAACAGAAAGUUAACAGGGGGUCAAUACCAAUAUUUUUACUAAGUGCAGGGACCAAUGCCAAAAUCUGAUGAAAGUGUAGGGACCAAUGACACAUUUAAACCAAAUUAUAAUUAGCACAACGUAUCAUUGCACUUAGGCAUUUAAAUGAUGAAUUUAAUACCAGUCUACUGCAUCACCGAAUCUUUCUGAAUGAAUGCGAUGAUGUUGUGCUUAUUGUAUUUGAGAAACAGGAGAAAGAGAUUACAAUAUUUCCGACUUGUAUUAUUCUUUUGACCCUCUUAGCAAGUGCCUCAAAAAAAGACCUGCCCAAUAUGUUGUUUCAGCAUAAAGUUAUUGCAAUACACCGAGCAUUAUUCACUUGAAGGAUUAAAAUUUUCUAUUAAAUAAAAAAUAUUGAAUCUAUAAUUAUAAAGUCGGUUAAAACUUCAUACCGAUUGAACAAGAAGGUUGUUCCUCUUUGCAUGAAUAGGAAGGUUGUUCCUGGUUAUCUUCAUUUUCAUUGUUAGAGCUUCUGACUUCACCUCCAAUUGCUAUAGACACAUCAGAGUCUUGAGCAAUGGAUUUUAAUUUACCAAUUUCCUUACUAAUGAUACUGCUACCACCACCUUCCAACUCACGUUCUAAGGCAUAUACAGGUAUGACCCCACACCCUUUUAUCCCCUCUGUUGACCACCACAAUUCUUCAUUGGGACCUUGAAGUAUGAAUUUAAAUGAUAAGUUACAAUCAUAACUUCCACUUUCUUGUAUGUUGUAACCAUGCCAACGCAUCAAUACAUGAUCUGAAAUUAAUGUCCCGAGAUAAUUGAAUCUAAUGCGACGUCUGUCGACUUCUUUUCCGCAUUCAAAGAUAAUACAAUGAAGGACAUGGUGGUUAACAGUGAAGCCCUCAGAAAAAAGGAUGCAAAAUAUGAAACCACACAAGUCAGAUUUAGCAAUAGGAAGAAUAGUUAUUGAAGCCUUGAUUGUCUGAAAAUCAAAAUUUAAUGGAAUUUGUGCUCCUGGCAUGAAAGAGAAAGGACGGAUAACACCUUCAUGUUCAAUAGAAGGGUCUUCACAGAACUUUUGUGCCUUGUUCUUAAUCAAUGAAAAUUGUGUGAAGUAUGUGUCCAGAUAUGUGCAAUUAACGGCUGUUAAAUAAAACAGGGAUGGCGGAAUCUCUGUUAGAGACACAAGUUUCCUGCAAUUGUCUAAUUCAAGCCAUUCUAGCAUUGAAUGGUUUUGUAUGUUCUUAGGGAGACAUUCUAAGUUGCAACACUCAUUCAAUUUUAGCCGUUUUAAAGAUUGUAUGCCAUCAAGGAUGGACGACAGACUUAUUGCAUUGAUUUCUGUGCACCCAGAAAGGUCUAGCUCUGUAACAGACCCCAGUCCAUGAUCAUCUGUUAACUUAUUCCCAACAAUAGUAAGCUUGUUACAUCCAGCUAGGUCAAGAACAGUAAGUUUGGUAUUAUGCCAAAUCGAUGAAGUCAAUUCAUGUAUAGAAGUGUCACGUAAGGAUAAUUUUGUCAUUUCCUCCGAUGUCACUGAAAAUUCUGUGAGAGAUGAACAACCAUUGAGUAAGAGUUGACGAAGAGAUUUUGAAUGAAUGUUUGUUUUAAGGCUUUCAAUACUUAUGCAACCUCUUAAGUCUAGAUAUUGAAGUUGAGGGAGAGAAAAGAUGGAUGGAUGGAGUUGACGCAAGCUUUCACAUUCCGAGAGAAGUACAACAACAAGAUUUGUAGCCCUAGAUAAGUCUGGGAUCUCAAUCAGAUCUUUGGAGGAUCGAAGCCAAAGUGUUCUUAGAUUCACAAGAUUCUGUAACAAGAAAUAAACAUCCAUGAGUGUUGAUUAAAAGAGAAACAAAACCUAGUUAAACAUAAAGAGAAACAUCCUAGCUCUGCUGCAAUUUAGUGAAAAACAUUUGUACCUGAACUCCAUCCCAGAGCUUUUUAAGCUUGCUAUGACUCAUGCAAAGAUAUACAAGCAUUUCAGCACAAAAGGUUGAUGGCAAAGACUCAAGACAGUAUCUUACCCAUAGAAGAUACCUCAAUUUAUCAGAAAUCCACUCAAGACCGUCAGGAAAGUACACAUUGCCUGUGCUCCCAUCAGAAUCAUUACAGAUAUGAAGAUAUCUUAAAUUUGUCAUCCUUCUAAAGGAAUCAGACUUCAAGUAAAUAUCCCCAACAUUUGUACUAUGGAACCUUAUACCUUCCACAACUUCAGUUCCCUGACAAAUAAAAAUUAGAUUAAUAAUUAGGAAAGGCUGUCAUGUGUACUUUCCUCGUUAUAUUUUAUAAUCACAUACAUGUUUUUUCGUAUAGAAAUGAUUGCAUUCUCUAGUUACCUUGUUUUCUUUUAAUAUAUCAGAUAUUUCUUCAGCUCUCCAUAACCGACUUCGUUUUCCAGGAUCUUUAGACUCUUGAUUAACAAUCUCCCGUCCCAUUUCUUGUAACAAAUCAUGCAUAUCUAAACCAUCAGUUUCCAAUUUGGCCAACGAGUGCCAAUUUGAUUUUAUUUGUAUGAAAGCUUUAUCUAGAAGGACUUCUAUCCCACUUUCUGCAAAGAACUCACAAGCUUCCAAGAAAUGUAUCACAAACAUUUUAUUCUCUCCUCUCAACAAGCAUGCGAUAUCUAGAAAUAUGUCCUUUUGAAAAAUAUCUAAGUUAUCAUAACUCAAUUUUAACAUAUUGUUAAUUUCCCCAUUUGGAAUCCUUUCGAGCUUUUUCAAUUCAUCUUCCCAUACUUUUUUGCCUCUUGAACGGAGAUUUUUACCUAAAACUUUUAAAGCCAAAGGGUUGCCUCUGCAAUAGGCAAUUACACUUUCCGAUAGAUCUUCAUAUCCAAUUUUAGGCUGUUUUUCUCCGAAGGCAAACAAACUGAAUAGUUGAAGAGAAUCAUGUUUGUUCAAUUCAUUAAACUCAUAUAUUUCACAAUUACUCAACUGACUUAGUAUGUGCUUAUCUCUAGUUGUAAUAAUGACCCUACUACCCAAUCCCAACCCAUAAAUUAUUAGGAUAAGAUCAUCUAAUUAAUCUAAGGUAUCCAAACCAUCCAACACAAUAAAAACUUUUUUAAGUGCAAUCCUUCUCACGGAGAAAGAGGAUUCUAUGUAGGAUGCAUCGGGAUGAAUUUUUUCUUCCUCUAACAAUGAAGACAAAAGUUUAUUGUGUAGACCAUUGACUCCAUACUUGUUUGAUUCAUCCAUUACAUAGUGGAAGCAAAGAACUUCAAAUUGGGAAUAAAGUUUACCAAAUAAAGUCCUAGCAAUGGUGGUCUUUCCUAUGCCACCCAUGCCCCAUAUUCCAAUGAUUAUAACAUCAUUUGACCCAAUUUCCAUCAUUGAUUCAAUUUGUUCGUAAUUUUUCUCAAUUCCAACAAGCCCAUUAAUAUCAUAUGGGUAUCUAGGAUUCAGUUUCCGCAAAACAUCUUCAACAAUGGCUUUAAUGAAGUCUGAGUCACUCCUAACAUAUGAAAGAGGGGAAGAAGGUUUAACAUGUCUACUAAAUACAAUAAAUAAACAUCUAUAUGAUUAGAAAUAUAUACAAAAUUUAUAGUCAACAUGAUGGUAGUGGCGUAGUAGAGCAAAAAAAGAAGCAAAAAUGAGAUUCGAGGAAAUGAAAUACCAAACACACAGUGCAAUUAAAGUCUAUUUUUUCUAGGAAGUGAAAUCCUAAAGAAAAUUAUAAAAAAAUAAAAGUUUUAUGAUACUCGAAGCAUGUGUUGCUACUAUUAAGAUUUUAGUGAUACAAAUAGAAUCAGCCAAAUCGAAGUAAAAAAAAUUGUGAGAUAGUGUAUGAUGACUUUGAUAGUUUUGAGAAGGUCAUCAACUAUGGCCAGGCACAUCAAUGUCAUUGUUCACUUCUCGAAAUAAUUUGGCCUGGUUUACUUUCUAAAAUUAUAUUUCGUCUUCAAUUUCUAAAAUUUAUGUUCAUUUCCAACUACAAAUAUGGAGAUGAAAGACUUAUGAAGUAAACAAUUGUGCUAUAUUAGAAACAAAACAUUCAAAUGAUAGGAAAUAGUUUAUUGAUUUUACUUACCUAUAAUUUCGAGAGUCCCAACCAACUAAAUUAGCUGCAUCAGUGAGAGCAGCUUUCCAUUUCUCCAACUUAUCGUUAUUGUGCUUCAAAUUUCGCUUAUGUUUUGCAAAGGCUUGCUUGUAACUCCCGGUCUGCUUCCUCACAUGUGAUGGAUCUAUGUUGUAAAAAACUGGUAUCACAAUCUGUUCCAUAUAUUUCUUGCAUUCAAGAAUCUUUUUGAGCUCAUUCAAGCACCAUUUUGAGGAAGCAUAGUUUUCUGAGAAGAUGACAAUAGAUGCAUGUGACUCCUCAAUGGCUUUGAUGAGUGCUGCCGAGAUCUCAUCUCCUUUUUGAAGCUCAUUGUUGUCUAUAAAGGUUUCAACUUUCUUUCGGCUCAGAGCGUCGUAAAGAUGGCUAGUGAAGUUUCUGCGAGUAUCCUCACCUCGAAAGCUAAGAAAAACCUCAUAUUUUUUCUUAGGGACCACAUCAGAAGAAGAUACAGAGGAAAAAGCACUGCUCAUUUUCUCCUCGUGACGGUUAUGAAUUCCCAGGGCCUGUACUAAGCCACUAAUCACAAUGCUACAAUAAAAAAAAAAAGUAAUGUUUAUUGUGUUCUUGAUACUUUUGACCACACUCAUUCUCGUUGUAAUUAGAGAAACUAGUUGUUAAAUUAAAAUUAAGAAGAAAAAAGAUCAUACCAAAGUCAGAAUCAAGCUUCAUGCAAGAAGACUUUAAAGUCAUAAAUCCCAACAGUAGUAUGGCUUAGCUUCUGCUGGAAUCAAUUUUAGAUGAAAAUUAAUUAAGGAUAAACACACACAAACACUUCAUAUAGAUGUAAUGAUUCAAAAUUAAAAUAUAAAAUAGUAAGUGUGGUUUCGUGGUUAUCCUUCAAGGAAGUUUCGUGGUUUUAUUUUCAGUUUUUCUUUCUUCCUUUGAAUAGUUUCUUUAAAUAUUCAAAUGUGUACGUCGUGGUGUUCUUCAGAAGGUAUGGCCAUCACAUUAUUCUUUAUAACAACCAUAUAAAAAAAAAAAUGACAUUAUGAAUUUGUCAUCAUGUGUGGUCAGAUCAGAUGCAUAAUGUGUAAGACGCCGGCUGAAUAAAAUAUGGCAACAAGAGAAUAUUUAGACAAACAAUGAUGCACAUAAUAUAGUGUGAAUCUAAUUUCCUAUAUUAAACUAAAUAGUUGUUACAUAAGGUUCCAUUUCUUUCUAUUUGUUUUUUUACCAAUCAAAUUAAGUAACCUUUAAACAAAUAUCAUAUAUAGUUGAACCGUUGAAUCUUGAACCUUAUUCACAUGUUCAAUGGCUGGUCCAAUCAUUUGUUUAAUGGUUGGUCCAAUUUAGAAAAUAUUAAUGAAGACGGCCUGCUUUGAUAAAUUAUUUAUUUAAAAACUUAUUUAUAUCCUUUUUUACUAACAAGGAAUUGAGACGUAACCAAAAAAAAAACAAGGAAUUGAGAUGGCCCUCUUCCGAUCUCAUCCCAACCCCACCAAUGGCCAACUUUAAAGCUAUGUUUGGAUUGGUAGAGAGUGGUGGAAUGGAAUUGAAUGAAGUGGGAUAGAUUCACAUUCUAUUGUUUGGUUUUGUAAAAAAAGGAAUAGAAUGGAAUGUAGUGUAAUGGAACUCAUUGCAUCCAAUACCACCUAUUUAACCAAUUUUCCAGUUCCUCCCAAUUUGGGGUGUAUGCAAUGAAAAAACAACAAUCUUCCUAGUAAAUACUAUAAAACAACAAUCAUCACCAAUGGUGGAAAUUAAUCAACAAAAAUUGAAAAAGACUUCCAUAAAAAUGAGUGCCUCAAAAGUAACCUUCAAAAGAUUCAAUUGAUAAGCAAUAAUCCAGCUUAACAUUGAGCUUCUCAUACGUAGCAUUCCAAUUUAUUAUGUCUGAAUUACAAGCAAUCAGAAGUUGAGGACAAGCCUAUAGAAGCUCAAAUUUUUCUGAAUAAAACCAUACCCUACACCGAAUUAGGGCUCUAUGAAGCCUCUAAUACUCGAAACAAUCGAAGAAGCAUUGGGGCUCUAAGACUAAGAAGGAGAAGAUGAAAAGAAACUAGCUACAAAAUUAAAACAUAUGUUUUCAUUGAUUAAUUACAUUCCUAAAGAUACAACACACUUAUCCCCUCUGUUGAACACCACAAUUGUUCCUUGUGACCUUGAAGUAGAAAUUGAAAUGAUAAGUUGCAAAAAUCAUAAAUUUCACUAUCUUGUCUGUUGUGAACAUGCCAGCAUACCAGUACAUAAUCAGAAAUGAAUGUCCCAAGAUAACUGUCACUAAUACAACGUAUGUCGGCUUCUUUUCCGUUUUCAAAGAUAAUACAGUGAACGGCAUCAGGGGCGGUUCUAAGGCCCGGCGACCCCCGGCUCCGGGCCAAAUUUUUUGUGUAAAUCCCUAUGAAUUUCUUAUAUAAACCCCUAUAAAUUGGGCAAUUUCUUUACAUUUUUUAUUAUUUGCUUGCAAUUUCUUAUGUACGCCCUAUAAAUGUGUUGCAAAAAAAUUUUCCGCCCAGGCUUUACAAUAUUCCUGGCUCCGCCACUGAACGGCAUGGUGGUAAACAUUAAAGCCCUCAGAAAGAAUGAUGGAAAAUAUAAAACUGCACAAAUCAGAUUUUGGAAUAGGAGGAAUAAUUAUUGAAGCCUCUAUUGUCUGAAAAUCAAACAUGCAUGCAAUGGAGUCUUCAGAGAAGGUUUGUAACAUGUUAUUAAAAAAUGACGGUUGAAUGGAGUAUGUGUCCAGAUAACUGCAAUUAACGGCAGGGAUGGUGGAAGCUCUGUUAGAGACACAAUUUUCCUGCAAUCAUCUAAAUCAAGCCAUUCCCAACAUUGAAUGGUUUUGGAUAUUGUCGGGGAGAACAUCUAAGUUGCAACACUCUUUCAAUUUUAGCCGUUUUAAAGACUAUAUACCAUCGAGGAUGGACCACAGACUUAAUGCAUCGAUUUCUGUGCACCCUGAAAGGUCUAGUUCGGUAACAAACCCAAGCCCAUGAUCAUCUGAUAACUUCUUCCCAACAGUGUUGAGCUUGUUACACUCAGUUAGACCAAGAGAAGUAAGUUUGCAAUUACGCCAAAUCGAUAAAGAUAAUUCACGUAUAGCAGUGCCAUGUAAGGAUAACUCUGUCAUUUCCUCUGAUGUCACCGAAAAUUCCAUGAGGGAUGAACAACCAUCAACUAAGAGAGAUUUUGAAUGAAAAUUGGUUUUUAGGCUAUGACUCAUGCAAAUCUCUACAAGCAUUUCAGCACAAAAGGUUGAUGGCAAAGAUUCAAGACAGUAUCCAUCCCAUCGAAGGUACCUCAAUUUAUCAGAAAUCCACUCAAGACCAUCGGGAAAGUACACAUUGCAUGUGCUCCCAUCAGAUAUAUUAUAGAUUUUAAGAUAUCUUAUAUUUUUCAUCCUUCUAAAGGAAUCAGACUUCAAUAAAGAUCCCCAACAUCUGUACAAUGGAACGUUAUACCUUCCACAGCUUCAGUUCCCUAAUAAAAACAUUUUUUUUUAAUAAUUAGGAAUGGUUCCCUGAUGAACUUUCCUUGUUAUAUUUCCCUGACGCAUUUUUGUUAUAAUUAGGAAUUGCAAACUCUAUUACCUUGUUGUUUUUCAAUAAUUCAGAUAUUUCUUCAGCCCUCCACAAUCUACUUCUUUUCCCAGGGUCUUUAGAUUCUUGAUUAACAAUCUCCCGACCCAUUUCUUGUAACAAAACAUGCAUUUCUAUUGUAUCAACAUCCAGAUUUACAUGCCAAAUAAGUUUUAGUUCUAUGAGAGCUUUAUCUAGAAGGACUUCUAUCCCAAUUGUUGCAAAGAAUCGACAAGCUUCCAAUACAUGUUUUACAAAAUCUUUAUGCUCUUCUCUCAACAAGCAUGCGAUAUCUAGAAAUAUGGCCUUUUGACAACAAUCUAAGUCAUCAUAACUCAAUUUUAACACAUUAAAAAUUUUCCUAUUGGGAAUCUUUUGGAGCAUUUUCAAUUCAUUGUCCCAUGCUUCCUUGCUUCUUGAACUCGGAUUUGCACCUAAAACUUUUAUAGCCAGAGGAUUGCCUUUGCAAUAGGCAAUUACACUCUCUGAUAGAUCUUCAUAUCCAAUUUUAGGAUGUUUUUCUCCGAAGAUAGUCAAACUCAAUAGUUGAAGAGAAUCAUGUUUGUUCAAUUCCUUAACCUCACAUAUUUGCACAUUUUGUGAAUUGACUAAAUAUGUGUUUAUAUCUAGUUGUAAUAAUGACCCCACUACCCGGUGCCAGUCCAUCAAUUUUUAGCAUAAGAUCUUCUAUUUGCUCUACAGUUUCUCUACACUAUCCAGCACAAUGUAAAAUUCUUUACGUGCAAUCCUUCUCACAGAGAAAGGGGUUUCUACGUGCAAUAAUUCUCACUCUGUUUUUUUAUUUUUUUAUUUUUUUUUCUUCUUUCUAAUCCUUUGAAUAUCUCCAGGUUCUUACUUUAUUGAAGGAAAUGUAACAUGAAGAAAAUAUAAGGAAAUGUAACAUGAAGCAAAAUUUGAGGAAAGAAAAGUUAGGCCUCAUCCUCAAGUAGUAGGAAUGUAGUCCAAUUUUGAUGGCAAAUUACACCCUAUUUCCAUUAACUUUUCAUCGGUAAGAACCAUGUCAUGGACGAGUCUUCAGAUAAGCAGAGACUUUGAGGGAGGAAUAUCUUUGCUCCAAAGUAGGAGCAAUGUGUUUUUUAAAAGAAUAAGUAUCUUUUAAAAGCUAAAUUUCCAUCAGAGGUUCUUUUCCAAAUCAAAGAAUCUUCACAGUCUUCAUCAGGAAUAGUUGCAGCACAAGCAAGCUAAUAGUAGGGAACAUCAACAGGACAUCACGAAGAAUGUUCCAGUGAAAAUUGGUGAAAUAGUAUUAGUCAGACACUUUUGAAGGGAAAGUGUUGAUAAAUAUAUUUUUCCUUAUAAAUAUAAAAAUAAAUAUUUGUCACCGAUACAAUAAAAAAAAUACACAAGACAAAUAUUCAUAAAAAAUUGGAUUAUUAUUUUUCAUUGAUAAACAAUCUAUGACACAAGAUAUAAACGGAGAAAUAAUUGUCACUAUUAAGCAGUAGUAAUUGACACAAGAUAUAAAUACUUUCAUGUACUUGAAGCUGCUCAUUCUAACCAAGGAAUUUCACUACUUCAACACCAAUGUUGCUCAGAUUUGUUUGCAAACUCAUGCUUACUUUGCUCAGAACCCUUCUCAACAUCCUCUGACCCCUCCAUGAAGUUACAGAAGCAUCAUAGCUCGAUAUCAAACAGUCUAAUGCAUAAACAGAUAUUGCGAUGAAGUAUUGUGCGAGAAACAAUGAGACAGAAAACGUUUCUGACUAUUAUAAUUCUUUGGACCCUCGAUAAAAUACAGCCGGUCAUUAUUUUCUAGAAUCAUGAGAAUUUUAAAACAAUUCUUCAAUUGAAGGAUUUAAAUCUUUUAAUAAAAUAAGCUAAGGUGGAAGGUAUGAUUGAAAAAGUGGAAAUUAUAUAGUGCUACAAUCAAAAUAAUUAACGGCUACUAACUAGCAUAACCUCUAGGAAUUAGAAAGCUUCUGCCUUGUUUAAAGAUACAAACAUACAAUUACACAGACUUGGGUCUAAUUACUUGGCGCCUGCGUCUAACAGAAGGUUGUUCCUCUACUUUGUAAGAAUAAGAAGGUUGUUCCUGAUCAUCUUCAUUUUCAUUGUUAUAGCUUCUGCCUUCACCUCCAAUUGCUAUAGACACAUAAGAGUCUUGAGCAAUGGAUUUUAACUUACCAAUUUCCUUACUAAUGCUACUACCCCAAUAUUCCCAUACAGGUAAGACCCCACACCCCUUUAUCCCCUCCUUUGACCACCGUAAUUCUUCAUUGGGACCUUGAAGUAUGAAUUGAAAUGAUAAGUUGCAAAUAUCAUAACUUCCAUUUUCUUGUCUGUUGUAACCAUGCCAACAUAUCAAUGCAUGAUCUGAAAUUAAUGUCCCAAAAUAAUUGUGACUAAUGCGACGUCUGUUGACUUCUUUUCCGCGUUCAAAAAUAAUACAAUGAAGGGCAUGGUGGUUAAUAGUGAAGCCCUCAGAAAAAAGGAUGCGAAAUAUGAAACCACAUAAGACAGAUUUUUUAAUAGGAAGAAUAGUUAUUGAAGCCUCGAUUGUCUGAAAAUCAAAAAUUAUUGGAUCUUGUGCUCCUGGCAGGAAAGAGAAAGCAUUUAUCACACCUUCUUCAAUAGAAGGGUCUUCAAAGAUCUUUCGUACCAUGUUUUCAAGCAAUGACCAUUGUGUGGAAUCUGUGUCCAGAUAAGUGCAAUUAACAGCUUUAAAAUAUAACAGGGAUGGCGGAAGCUCUAUCAGAGUCACGAGGUUCCUGCAAUCAUCUAAUUCAAGCCAUUCUAGCAUUGAAUGGUUUUGGAUAUUCUCUGGGAGACUUUCUAAGUUGCAACACUCUUUCAAUUUUAGCUGUUUUAAAGAUUGUAUGCCAUCAAGGAUGGACCACAAACUUAAUGCAUUAAUUUCUGUGCACCCUGAAAGGUCUAGUUCCGUAACAAACCCAAGUCCAUGAUCAUCUGAUAACUUAUUCCCGACAAUGUUAAGCUUGUUACAUCCAGUUAGGUUAAUAACAGUCAUUUUGGUAUUACGCCAAAUUGAUGAAGACAAUUGAUGUAUAUCAGUGCCACAUAAGGAUAACUCUGUCAUUUCCUCCGAUGUCACUGAAAAUUCCAUGAGAGAUGAACAACCAUCAAGUUUAAGGUUUCGGAGAGAAUUUGAAUGAAUAUUGGUUUUAAGGCUUUCGAUCUUUAUGCAACCUCCUAAAUCUAGUACAAUAAGUCGAGGGAGAGAAAAGAUGUAUGGAUGGAGAUGACGCAGGCUUUCACAUUUAUAGAGAUGUACUUUUUCAAGAUUUGUAGCCCUAGAUAAGUUUGGGAUCUCAAUCAGAUCUUUGGAGUAAUUAAGGCUAAAUGUGAUUAGAUUCACAAGAUUCUGUAACAAGAAAUAAACAUGCAUUAGUGUCGAUUAAAAGAGAAACAAAACCUAGUUAAGAAUAAACAGAAGCAUGCCAUACUAACUCUGCUGCAUUUUUGUGAAUGACAUUAGACUUCCUCUUGUACCUCUAUAAAGUUAACAAGUACAUCCAAACAUUUUGUACCUGAACUCCAUCCCAGAGCUUUUUAAGCUUGCUAUGAGUCAUGUGAAGCUCUACAAGCAUUUCAGCACAAAAGUUUGAUGGAAAAGACUCAGGACAAUAUCCCUCCCAUUGAAGGUACCUCAAUUUAUCAGAAAGCCACUCGAGACCAUCAGGAAAAUGUACAUUGCAUAUGCUCCCGUUGGAUAUAUUAUGAAUCUUAAGAUAUCUUAAGUUUGUCAUCCUUCUAAAGGAAUCAGACUUCAAGUAUAGAUCCCCAACUUCCGUACUAUCGAAUAUUAUACCUUCCCCAACUUUAGUUCCCUGACAACGAAAAUUAGAUUAAUAAUUAGGAAAGGCUGUCAUAUGUACUUUCAUUGUUAUAUUUUAUAAUUACAUACAUAUAUUUUCAUAUAUAAGUGAUUGCAUCCUCUGCUUACCUUGUUUUCUUUUAAUAUAUCAGAUAUUUCUUUAGCUCUCCACAACCGACUUCGUUUUCCAGGGUUUAUAGAUUCUUGAUUAACAAUCUCCUGUCCCAUUUCUUGUAACAAAUCAUGUAUAUGUAAACUAUCAACUUCCAACUUGGCAUACGAGUGCCAAUUUGGUUUUACUUGUAUGAGAGCUUUAUCUAAAACGACUUCUAUCCCACUUUCUGCAAAGAACUCACAAGCUUCCAACAAAUCUAUUAUAAAUAUUUUAUGCUCUCCUCUCAAAAAGCAUGCAAUAUCUAAAAAUAUGGCCUGUUGAAAAAAAUCUAAGUCAUCAUAACUGAAUUUUAACACGAUAUAAAUUUUCCUAUUUGGAAUCUUUUCGAGCUUUUUCAAUUCAUUUUCCCAUGCCUCUUUGCCUCUUGAGCGGAGAUUUACCCCUAAAACUUUUAAAGCCAGAGGAUUGCCUUUGCAAUAGGCAAUUACACUUUCUGAUAGAUCUUCAUAUCCAAUUUUAGGCUGUUUUCCUCCGAAGGCAUUCAAACUGAAUAGCUGAAGAGAAUCAUGAUUGUUCAAUUACAUGACCUCAUAUAUCUCACAUUUACUGAACUGACUAAAUAUGUGCUUAUCUCUAGUUGUCAUAAUGACCCUACUACCCGGUCCCAGCCCAUCAAUUUUUAGGAUAAGAUCUUCUAUUUGCUCUAAGGUUUCUAUGCCAUCUAACACAAUUAAAACUUUAAUUUUACGUGAAAUCCUUCUCUUGGAUAAAGUGGCUUCUAUGUAGGAUGCAUCAGGAUGAAUAUUUUCCUCCUCUAACAAUGAGGAUAAAAGUUUAUUGUAUACAACAUUAUGUCCAUACCUGUUUGAUUCAUCCAUUACAUUGAGAAAGCAACAACCUUCAAAUUGAGAAUAAAUUAUAGCAUAUGAAGCCCUAGCAAGAGUGGUCUUUCCUAUGCCACCCAUGCCCCAUAUUCCAAGGACUCUAACAUCAUUUGAGCCAAUUUUCAGUAUUGACUCAAUUUGGUCAUAAUUUUUCUCAACUCCAACAAGCCCCUUAAUUUCACAUGGGUAACUAAGAUUCAGUUUCCGCAAAACAUAUUUAACAAUGUCCUUAAUGAAGUCCGAUUCGAUCCUAGAAUAUGAAAGAGAGGAAGAAGAUUUUACAAGUCUAACAAAUACAAUAGUAGAAAAGUACAUCUAUAUGAUUAGUAUACAAAAUUUAUAGUCAAUAAGGUGACAGUGGCUUAGUAGAGCAAGAAACAAACAAAAAUUAGAUUUGGGGAAACAAAAUACCAAAGACACAAGGUAAUAAAUGUAUAUUUUCUAUGACUUUGGUAGUUUUCAGAAGGUUGUGUCAACUAUUACUUUGGCCUGUUUAUUUUCAAAAAUUAUUUUUAGUGUUUGUUUUCUAAAAUUUAUGUUCAUUUCCAAUUAAGAAAAUGGAGAUGAAAGACUCAUGUAGUAAAUAGCUGUGCUAUAUUAGAAAACAAAACAUGUAAAUGAUAUGAAAUAGUUUAUUUAUUUUACUUCGAAUUUUUUCGUUUUGUUUACCUGUAAUUUUGAGAGUCCCAACCAACUAAACUAGCUGCCUCAGUGAGUGCAUCUUUCCAUUCCUGUAACUUGUCAUUAUUGCUCUUCAAAUCUCGCUUAUGUUUUGCGAAGGCUUGCUUGUAACUCCCAGUCUGCUUCCUCACAUGUGAUGGAUCUAUGUUGUAAAAAACAGGUAUCACAAUCUGUACCAUAUAUUUCUUGCAUUCAAGAAUCUUUUUGAGCUCAUUCAAGCACCAUUUUGAGGAAGCAUAGUUUUCUGAGAAGAUGACAAUAGACACAUGUGACUCCUCAAUGGCUCUGAUGAGUGCUGGCGAUAUCUUAUCUCCUUUUUGAAGCUCAUUGUUGUCUAUAAAGGUUUCAACUUUCUUUCGGCUCAGAGCAUCAUAAAGAUGGCAUGUGAAGUUUCUGCGGGUAUCCUCACCUCGAAAGCUAAGAAAAACGUCAUAUUUUUUCACAGAUGCCACAGAAGAAGAAAAAACACUGUUUGUUUGCUUCCUAGCCAUUAUGAAUUCCAAGCGCUGCGCUAAUCACAAUGCUACACUCAAACAUAAAAAAUAUUUGAUGUUUAAAUUUGUUCUCGGUUACUAUUUGUACUGGCACUCGUGAUAGUGUUACAUAUUGAGAUUUAUAAAUCAGAUUGACAUCAGAUCAGGCAGUUCAAAGUCCACAUAUUGCUCAUAUAUCGACCUAGGUAAUGUGUAUUUUUUGAUCUAGGAAAGCUAUAGAAUAUGGCAAUUCCACGGGCCAGAUUAAUUAUUACUUCACAUUCAUAGGCUAUUUAAGUCUAGUUUUAUGUAUGGACUCCAAUCAUGUUUAACCUUGUUGCUUGAAUUGAAUUCUAGGUUUUAUCAGGGUUUCUCUUCAUUAGCCUUUUAAACAUUGAGUAGUAAUUAACAAAUAUGAAGACUAACUUAGCAUUCAUUCUUCAGAACCAAUUUGAAAGACUAAUUUGAAAUAUUUGCCAAUAUUGAUUUCAAAUUCAAGGAUAAAAUUAUGAAUAAACUACAAUUAGAGAAACUAACUAGUUAAAUUAUAAUUGACGGAAAAUAGAUCAUACCAAAGUCAGAAUCCAGCAAUAAUUGAGGAGGAAAAGAAUGUACAAUGACAGUCACAAUCCCAGCAGGGCAAUUAGCUUCUACCGGAAUCAAUAAAUAGCUUCUACCGGAAUCAAAAGCAGGCCUAACCAAAUAAUUCCAAUAAUUUAGAUGAAUGUCUUUAGACACCAAUUUUUUCAUUUUUAAGUGUUUAGGUACAACAGUUCAUAAUGCUUUGGUCGUGAUUUUAUAUGGAUUGAUCAAAAUUAAAAUAUAAAAUAACAUGUGGAUUUCAUGGUUUCCCUUCAUAGAAGUUUCGAUUCCAAUGCGUAGUCAGAUCAGAUGCAUAAAUGUGCAAGACGCCGGCUGAUUAAAAUAUGGCUACAAGAGGAUAUAUAUUUAGAGAGAAUUCAAAUCCUUCUAAGUAAAUUUUAUUGUUUGGAUGAUUAAUUUAGAGAAUUUUUUAAUUUAAUGAAAUUUUAUAAAGUAUUUUGUUCAAGUUAAAUUGAGUGAAUUUCAAAUGACAAAUAAGAUCUAGGAAUUUCAAAUUUCAAGUAUCAUUGUAACAUACAUUUUACUUUGAAAACCUGGUUACUUUUUCUUAUCUAGUUAAAAUAAAUAAAUUUCAAGUAUUGUAAGUGCUGGGUUGAAAGAGAUGUGGUUUGAUCAUUAUGUAGGAUAAAAAAAAUAAAAAAAUAAAAAAAUAAAAUAAAAAAAUCAUGAAUAAAUGUUACUCACUCCAUCUCAAAAUAUAUAAUUUGCUGAGUUUCUGCCUAAUUUCAAUACAUGAUAAUUAGUCUAACAGAUAACUUAGUCUGCAUGAUGCCAAGUUGAUUUCCAAAUUUGGCAUACGGCAUAAAAUACCUUACCUUCCCCAGUCAGUUUGGCAAAGUGGUAAGUUCUUAUUGGUUGUCAGUGUGAAAGAAAUUUACACCGACAGUGCAUGCCCCUAACUCUAUUGAUAAAUGGUAUUUUACAAUGAUCUGAGUAUAGUUUUGACAGUUGACAUCAUUGGAAUGGGAAAUUUUUAGUUGACAAUGCCAAAUACAGUAAGAACUGUAAACAAUAGAACCAACAUUAUAGACUGUUAUUUUGUGGGAAACACCAAUAUCUUAGACCUGUAUCAUUUAAACAGGAAAACCCAUUUACAGAACCAUUGUUCUUCUUAUGUUUCUUUCAUAUGACUCAACCAUGAAAAUCGAGCAGCUACUGCAGAAAGGGGAAAGAGAAACGGGAAUGAAAAUUCUUUUGGCGGUAAAGCGUAUUAUGCUUGGAGAAAGUGGCGCUUCAACCAUUAUGAUCAAGAACAUGAAACCACAAGGGAAUAGGGAUCCAUACACAAAUUGAUUAAUAUACCAACAAGUUCAGCACAAAAAAACUGAAUAAAAUUAGGAAUAUUUCUGAAAUGGUAUAAGUAACAAGCAACGUAUCACAAGAUUUUACAUGAAAAACAGGAGAAAGAGAUCACAACAUUUCUGACUUGUAUUAUUCUUUUGACCCUCUUAGCAAGUGCCUCAAAAAAAGACCUGUCCAGGAAUCAUGAGAAUUUUAAAACAAUUAUUCAUUUGAAGGAUUAAACUCUUUCUAUAUCAAAAUAAACUAAUAUGGAAUUUAUAAUUAGAAAGUAGAUGAGAAGAUUCAUACCGAUUGAACAGCAAGGAUGUUUCUGGUCAUCUUCAUUUUCAAUGUUGGAGCUUAUGACUUCACCUCCAAUUGCUGAAGGCUGUAACUCAUCAUUAUAAUUUUCCUGGCCAUCUUCAAUUUCAUUGUUAGACCAAUAAGACCUGUCAGAAUAUUGAUUACUGAAUUUUAAUUUACCAAUUUCCCUACCAGCCAGAUCCGACUUAUGUUCUAAGUUAUAUACAGGUAAGAUCCCACACCCUUUGAUCCCCUCCGUUGACCACCCCAAUUCUACGUUAUGUAUGAAUUGAAAUGAUAGUUUACAAUCAUUACUUCCAAAUUUUUCUCUUUUGUAACAAUACCAACAUAACAAUACAUGAUCUGAAAUUAAUCUCACAAUAUAAAGGGCAAAACAAAUAAUACACCUGUCGACUUCUUUGCCGUGUUCUAAGAUGAUACAAUGCAGGGGGUGACUCUGAAAAAGGAAGCCCUCAGAAAGAAUGGUGCAGAAUAUGAAACCAGACAGGUUAUAUUUUGGAAUAGGAGGAAUGGUUAUUGAAGCCUUCAUUGUUUGAAAAUCAAACUUGCAAGGAACUUGUGCUCCUGGCCAGAAAAGGUAAUUGGCAUCUUUAUUUACAUGAAAAGGGUCUUUAGAGAAAAUUUGUACCAUGUUCUCAAGAAAUGACCGUUGAGUGGAGUCUGUAUCCAGAUAAGUGCAAUUAAUGCCACUCAAAGUUAUUAGGGAUGACGGAAGUUCUGUUAGAGACACAAGUUUCCUGCAACCAUCUAAAUCAAGCCAUUUUAGCAUUGAAUGGUUUCGGAUAUUCUCAGGGAGACAUUCCAAGUUGCAACACUCUUGUAAUGUUAGCCCUUUUAAAGAUUGUAUGCCAUCAAGGAUGGACCACAGACUUAAUGCAUUCAUUUCUGUGCACCCUGAAAGGUCUAGUUCUGUAACAGACCCAAGUCCAUGAUCAUCUGAUAACUUAUUCCCAACAAUGUUAAGCUUGUUACACUUGGAUAGGCCAAGCGAAGUAAGUUUUCUAUUACGCCAAAUCGAUGAAGACAAUUCACGUAUAGCAGUGCCACCUAAGGUCAACUCUGUCAUUUCAUCCGAUGUCACUGAAAAUUCUGUGAGAGAAUAACAACCAUCAAGUAAGAGUUCACGAAGAGAUUUUGAAUGAAUGUUGGUUUUAAGGCUUUCAAUCUUUUUGCAACCUCGUAAAUCUAGAUAUCUAAGAUCAGGGAGAGAAAAGAUAGAAGAAUGGAGCUGACCCAGGCUUUCACAUUGAAAAAGAUAUACUCUAUGAAGAUUUGUAGCCUUAGAUAAGUCUGGGAUCUCAAUCAGAUUUUUGGAGGAUUCAAGCCAAAGUAUGUUUAGAUUCACAAGAUUCUGUAACAAGAAAUAAAAACACCAUUUAAAUUCAUAAAUAGAGAAACUAAACCUAAUUAAGCAUAAAUAGAGACUUUUUAAGAAUGAGCAUUAGACUUCCUCUCAUACUUCAAAAAAUUAACAAGUAUAUCCAAACACAUUUGUACCUGAACUCCAUCCCAUAGCUUUUUAAGCUUGCUAUGACUCAAGUGAAGCUCUAUGAGCAUUUCAGCACAAAAGGUUGAUGGCAAAAACUCAAGACAGUAUCCUUCCCAUCGAAGAUACCUCAAUUUAUCAGAAAUCCACUCAAGACCAUCGGGAAAGUACACAUUGCAUGUGUUUCCUCUAGAUAUAUUAUAGAUUUUAAGAUAUCUUAAAUUUUUCAUCCUUCUAAAGGAAUUAGACUUCAAGUAAAGAUCCCCCACAUCUGUACUAUCGAAUGUUAUCCCUUCGACAGCUUCAGUUCCCUGAUAAAAAUUACAUUAAUAAUUAGGAAUGAUUGUCACAUAUACUUUCCUUGUUAUAUUUCAUAAUCACAUAGAUGUGUUAUUUUGAUGUAGAAGGGAAUAGAUCCUCUACUUACUUUGUUAUAUUUUAAUACAUCGGAUAUCUCUUCAGCUUUCCACAGUCGACUUCGUUUUCCAGGAUCUUCAGAUUCUUGAUUAACAAUCUCCCGUCCCAUUUCUUGUAACAAAUCAUGCAUUUCUAUAGUACAAACUUCCCUUUUGACAUGCAAAAUUGAAUCUAGUUGAAUGAGAGCUUUAUCUAGAAGGACGUCUAUCCCACUUAUUGCAAAGAAAUCAGAAGCUUCCAGUAGAUCUCUUACAAAAUCUUUACCCUGUCCACUCAACAAGCAUGCGAUGUCUAGAAAUAUGGCCUUUUGACAACGAUCUAACUCAUCAUAACUCAAUUUUAACACAUUAUGAAUUUUUCGAUUGGGAAUCUUUUGGAGCUUUUUCAAUUCAUUUUCCCACGCUUCUUGGCCCCUUGAACUGAGAUUUGCACCUAAAACUUUUAAUGCCAGAGGGUUACCUUUGCAAUAGGCAAUUACACUUUCUGAUAGAUCUUCAUAUCCAAUUUUAGGUUGUUUUUCUUUGAAGGCAGUCAAACUGAAUAGCUGAAAAGAAUCAUGCUUGUUCAAUUCUUUAAGCUCAUAUAUUUCACAUUUACUCACCUGACUAAAUAUGUGCUUAUCUCUAGUUGUAAUAAUGACCCUACUACCUGGUCCCAGACCAUCAAUUUUUGGGAUAAGAUCAUCUAUUUGCUCUAAGGUUUCUACACCAUCCAACACAAUUAAAACUUUUUUACGCCCAAUCCUUCUCUCGGAGAAAGGGGCUUCUAUGUAGGAUGCAUCAGGAUGAAUAUUUUCUUCCUCUAACAAUGAAGACAAAAGUUUAUUGAGUACAACAUUAAGUCCAUACUUGUUUGAUUCAUCCAUUACAUUGAGUAAGCAACAACCUUCGAAUUGAGAAUACAUUUUAGCAUAUAAAGCCCUAGCAAGGGUGGUCUUUCCUAUGCCACCCAUGCCCCAUAUUCCAAGGACUCUGACUUCAUGUGACCCAAUUUUCAGCUUUGAUUCAAUUUGGUCAUAAUUUUUCUCAAUUCCAACAAGCCCGGCCUUAAUUUCAUAUGGGUAUUUAAGAUUCAGUUUCUGCAAAACAUCUUCAACGAUAUCCUUAAUGAAGCGUGAUUCAGUCCUAGCAUACGAAAGAGGGGAAGAAGGUUUGAUAAGUCUACAAAUACAAUGGAAGGAAAAUACAUCUAUAUGAUUGGUAAAUAAAAUUUAUAGUCGACAUGGUGGCACUGGCAGUUCCUUAGCAGAGCAAGAAAGAAAGAAAAUUAGAUUUGAGGAAAUAAAUACCAAUGAUAGAGAAUGUAAUUAAUGUCUAAAUUUUCUAGGAAGUGAAAUCCUAAUGAAAAUUCGAAAAAAAUAAAUAAAUGUUUUAUGCUAGAAAUAUAACACAACUGUGUGGGAUGGAUAGUGCAGAUUUCAAAAAUUGUGUGUAUGCAGGGUACAAGCAUAUGAUUAUUAAAUAGUUUUCAGAAGGUCAUAUCAACUAUGGCCAGGCACAUAAACAUCAUUGUUCACUUCUCCAAAUAAUUCGGCCUGUUUACUUUCUAAAAUUAAUUUUAGCUUUCAUUUUUUAAAAUCUAUGUUCAUUUCCAACCAUGAAUAAGGAGAUGAAAGACUCAUGUAGUAUAUAAUUGUGCUAUAUUAGAAAACAAAACAUGAAAAUUAUAUAAAAUAGUUUAUUGGUUUUACUUAGAAUUUUGAGAACAUACAAGUCAUGGCAUGUACAAAGCUCGAUAGUUCGUUUUACUUACUCAAAAUUUUGAAAGUCCCAACCGCCUAAACUAGCUGCCUCAGUGAGAGCGGCUUUCCAUUCCUGUAACUUGUCAUUAUUGCUCUUCAAAUCUCGCUUAUGUUUUGCAAAAGCUUGCUCGUAACUCCCGGUCUGGUUCCUCACAUGUGAUGGAUCUAUUUUGUAAAAAACUGGUAUCACAAUGUGUUCCUUAUAUUUCUUGCAUUCAAGAAUCUUCUUGAGCUCAUUCAAGCACCAUUUUGAAGAAGCAUAGUUUUCUGAGAAGAUGACAAUAGAUGCAUGUGACUUCUCAAUGGCUUUGAUGAGUGCUGGCGAGAUCUCAUCUCCUUUUUGAAGCUUAUUGUUGUCUAUAAAGGUUUCAACUUUCUUUCGGCUCAGAGCAUCAUAAAGAUGGCUGGUGAAGUUUCUGCGAGUAUCCUCACCUCGAAAGCUAAGAAAAACGUCAUAUUUUUUCAGAGGCACCACAUCAGAAGAAGAUAUGGAAGAAAAAGCACUGCUCAUUUUCUACCUAGUGAUUAUGAAUUCCAAGUGCCUGCACUAAUCACAAUGCUACACUCAAAAAUAAAAUAAAAAUUUAUGUUUAAAUGUGUUCUUGAUACUUGUCAAUGAUAUUUUUGACAGGUACUCGGUUCAUAUAUCUGAUUGACAUCAGAUCAAGCAGUUCAAGGUUCACAUAUUGCUCAUCUAUGGAUAUAAUAAAUAAACAGCAUUUGUUAUUUCAAGUCGUUUGUGAUUCUUGGAAAUUUGUUUGUCUUAUAUUAAUGGCUUGCUUAUGAUGUGGAAAACCUAUACAGUUAUUUUGAAGAUGAAAAAACUUGAAUAGACAUUAAAAGCUUAAUGACAUGAAAUAGUAAAGAAUCUUAACAUUUUUUUGAAUGACAAAUCCUAGUAGUUAGUUGUUAGAUUAAGUAUUGACUAUUUCGUCCAGGUUUGAACCGAGAGUCUCCAACUUCUUAUCCGUGAGUUCAAAUUUCAAACCAGUUGAGCUACUCAACCUCCCAAAUAAAAAAACUUAACUCAGAUUAAGUGAAGAGCAACCAAAAUAAAACAUAGAAUUCAAUUCAAGCAACAAGGUUAAGCAUCAUUGGAGUCCAUACAUAAAAUUAGUCAUAAAUAACCAGCCUAUGAAUGUAAAGCAAAAACAAAUCUGGCCCAUGUAUGAUACUUUUUUCUCAAGCAGCAUUUUCAGAUACAAAACAGAGUAAUUUCCUAAUCAGUAAAAAUGGGGUACAAAUAAGAAAUAUGAAGACUAAUUAAACAUUCAUAUACAAUUCUUGAAGACCAAUUUAAUCUUAUAAGUUAAAUUAAAAUUGAUGGAAAAAAGAUGAUACCAAAGUCAGAUCCAGCUUAAUGCAAUAGAGGAGAAAAAGACUGUAUGGCUUAGCUUCUGCUGGAAUCAAUUUUGGAUCAAAAUAACAAAUGUGAUUUCACUGUUAUGCAAUCCUAAGUAAAAUGGCUUCAUUGCUCUUUAACAGAUACCAUAAGAUAAAAUAUACUGUAACAUACAGUAACCUUGUUGACUUGGGGGCUUCACUUGGGUUCCAACUACUUUUAAGUUUUAACCAGAAAAAUAAAUACAUGUGUAUUUAAGGCCACAAGAUUAAAUACAAACUUUAUCUUAAAAAUAACUCAUUCAACAUCUAAAAUUUAUAAAAUUGAUUUUUUUUUUAAAAUAGAAUUUAUCACUUGUUUCCUUUUUAGUUUUAUACUAAAUGUUUAGCUCAGUUGAUACAGUGCAUAAUAUAUGCAAAAUCCAGGGUUCGAAUAUUGGACGCCAUCAAAAAGAAAUGUUUUUAAAAAGUUAUUAACAAGAUUUUUUCAUGGUAAAUUCUAUCCACUAAACUACUUGAUAAAAAAAAUAUAAAAAAAAAAAAAAAAGACAGCAUCCAUAUUGACGUUAGUAAAUCUUAUGAUAAUUUAUCGAAAAAAUAAUAAUAAAUAAGAAUUUACAUAGAUAUGUUAUUUCGGCCAUACCCCAGUGAAAGUUGAGAAUAGAUAAAAGGUGUUUGUAUUUGACAUUUUUGUCGAAUAUCUAUACUUUUAAAAAAUUAAAAAAAUACAUGGUUUUUGGAAUAACUUUUUCAUUUCUAAUUAUACCUCUAAGCAAAUCUGUCUAGAAGAAAUAGAAGAAAUAUAUAAUUGAAUCCUGUCAUCUUUUAAUUUUUCUAAUUACAUUUCAUGUAUUCAUGGUUACACACUAAAAUGAUAAAAUUAUCCUUAAAUAAAAUUUAAUUUAAUCUUAAACUCGGUUUAAGUAGGUCAUGUAAACUUAAUUUUAGUAGACAAUGUAAACUGAGUUUAAGUGUAACACUUUAAGUAAGUUAUAUAAACUUAGCUUAAGUAGGUCAUGUAAAAUGAUCAGUUUAAGUGUACAUACUAAAAGUUAAAUUUUGCUUUAACCUCUUCAACCUUGUUUAAUGAUUCUACAUAAUCUUAUUUUAAGUAUGUACUUGUAAACUCAACUUAGGUAGACUAUGUGACUAAAUUUACAUGUACCCACUUAAACUGAAUUUAAGUUAACCUCAACGAUGUUAAUUAACGUUGUUUAUGUUGCACCAUUAAAUAAUCGUGUUGUAAAGUGCAUAACAUAUCAACGUUUGAACAACAAAGAAAAAAAAUCGAAACUCUAGCAUCAAUGAAAAAGAAGAAGAAAUUCAAUUAUUUAUAUGCAAUAGAGUAUGGACGAAAGAUGUUUUGAUUCACUCUUUAAUCUUCUAUAUAGAUUGAUUGACCAUCCAUAAUUGUUUGUGGGGGAAAGCGGGUGAAAUUUUAGAGUGACAAUGAAUGAAAUCAAGGUUUUAAGAAAAUUUAUAUAAAAGAACAAUUUUAAUUUUAUUAUAAAAUUUUAAGUAAAUAUAUGUGUAAUAAGAAAUACAUAGGAUGUAAAAAGAAAAACUCUUGUUAUCAUCAAAACUCAAAGUGGUGUUGUCAAACACAUUUUAUUCCAACAAUAUGUUCGAUAAAACGCAUACAAGUCUGGGAUCAUCCUUGACUUUAUAAUGUUGCGUGCAUUUUACCAACUACUUAUCAACAUUUGUAGUGGCCAUAUAUCAUUGUUUUAAACCUGUUGAUUACACCUAAGCAGCAAUGGAGCUAAUUAAUGGAUUUUUUUGACAAUAAUAGAACCAUAACUACAUGACUGCCUACUUGGAAGCUUGAGAAUGAUGGUGUUUAUACAGUUAAGAAUCCAUACAAGGACAUUAUGAAUCAUGAUAUGGCCCUUUUGCAACAUCGUGUGCCGAGAAAUUGGAAUUAUGUUUGAGUUUAAAGUUGCCACCGUAGCUACCACAAUUGUUUGCCUACUACAAUUCGAUUGCAAUUGAAAGGUGUUUCGUGUACUGAUUUGUGCGCGAUGUGUGAAGACUUUGGUGAAGAUAAUACUUAUUUGUUUUUAUGUGUAGUAAAAGUGUGCUUUGUUGGAAGCACACGAUUUUGGAUUCCUUUGAUGGUAGUCUUCGAUCUUGCUGCAAGUUUCUCGAAAAAUGUGUUUUCUAUUCUAUAACAUCUGGACCAGCAGCAAAAACAAAUCUUUGGUGUGACGCUAUGGAGUAUUUGGAAGAAUAGAAAUAACAAGGUUUGUAACAAUGUUACUGAAACAUCUCAAACUAUUUGUGAACGUGCACGUUCCUUCUCGCUAGCUGGAUGAAUGCCCAAACUAUUCGACACCAUACUUUUCGGCAUUCCAUUACACAGAGCGAUCUACAUAUUGACAUAACCAAGUCCCGACAGGUUCAAAUGCAAUGUAGAUGCUUUCUUUUCUCAUGCUCUGAAUCGAGUCGGGCUAGGUAUGUGUAUUCGAGAUGAUUGUUGAACCAAAAAUCUUUUUGAUGAAUGUUUUAAUAAUAACAAACUUUAUGGAAUAAACACUAAGUUUUAUGAAUGGUGAUCUACUGAUGUUUGCACUUAAGUCUUUUCCGAGAAGUAAACAAGAAAUAAGUCUUUUACAAGUGCAUAGAUAUAUUCAAUGAAAGAAUACCAAAACAAUAGCAUCACAAGCUCAAAGAAGAUAUAGAAAAAAUAUUGUUUGAAUCAAAUGAGUAUUGAUUGAAGAUUCAACAAGAAGAUGUAUUUUAUGAUCAAUUGACUCAUCCUCAUCACCACAUGGUUUUCAACAAAGCAUUAAAAAAUUUGAGGAAUAAAGGGUUAAUAUUUGAAAGACACUUAAUGAACAAGAAACAUUGUGUGGAAUCACUAAGAGGAACUAUGAGAAGAAUUGUAUCAUCAAACAAUUCAAGGUUAAUUGACCAAGAAGAUAUUGUCUUCUUAUAUAGAAGAGAACAUUAUCAACUUUGAUGAAAAGAAGGUUCUCAUGAUGAAGAUGAUUAUUACACUCGAAAUAAUUAGAAUCAACUUUGAAGAGAAACCAACCGAUGAAUAAAUUAUUUAUUAAGUCAUUCAUUAAUUGGAGAACUAUCAAGGAAGACAAAUCAUGAUCAUAUGCAUGAAGAUUCUAUCAUAAAAGACUUAGGAUGAUCCAAGAAUCUUCAAUCAUUUUUCAAGAUAUAAUUUGGGAGAAUAGAAAUCAAUAAAAGGAAUUUUUACUUUGAGAAAGGUUUCUCAUGUUCUUACAAAAGAACAUUAUGGUCAUAAAAAGUGAAGAGAACACCUUCACUUUAUGUUUUUAAAGAUAACACAUAUUUACAUUUAUUAUCUUGUUAUCUACUAAUGUGAGAAUGUUUCAGUGAGAAUGUUCUCAAGAACGUUCUGACCUCGCAAAGAUAACAAAACAUCUUUAACAAAGCAAAUGACAAAAAUCAUCUUUUGAUAAAUGUCAAGAAUGUGCAUAAUCAAAGAUCAAGAAUAAUUGUUAUUCUCUUUGUCUCACCAAAAGAAGGAUCAAUGAUCAUAAAAAUCAAGAUCCUUAAAGGCAUUAAAUGGCAAGAAAUCAAGACAAAUCAAAGCAUUAUGGCACAUGGGCCAUGAUAGCAAAAGAACAAAGAUUAAAUCAUAAUGGCCUUAAAAGAGUGAAAAGAUUCAUUAAAGAAAGGCUUAAAUAUGAUAUUAGUCCCUGUAAUUUGGGUCGGUUUUGAAUUUCGUCCCUGUAAAAAAAAAACUUUGAAUUACAUCCCUGUAAAAAAAAAUUUGUUUGAAAAAGGUCUAUGGCCCCACAUUUUUGAUGAUAUGGCAUGGGUUUUGCCACAUGGCAGUUGCUGACUGUGCAACUUAUGCCACAUGGCGCUGACGUGGCAUGCCACAUAAUAUUAAAUUUAAAAAAAUAAUUUUUAAAUUCUAAAAAUUGUUUUUAAAAUUUAAAAAUAUAAAAAAAAAAUCUGAAAAAAAUUUAAAAAUAUUAAAAUUAUUUUUAUCAUAUAAUUUUCAAAAAAAUUUUUUUUUUUAAAUUAUAAAAUCUGAAAUUUCUGAAAAAAAAAAAUGAAAUGAUUUUUUUUUAAAAUAUGAAGAAAAAAAUAUAAUUUUCAAAUUAAAAAAAAUUAAUGAUCGAAAAUUUAAUUUUAACUGUUUUUUUUCGAUUUUUUAAAUGAUUUUUGAAUUUAUUUUCAUAUUUUUUUAAAUUUUUUAAUUACGUGGCUGCCACGUGGCAAAACCUAUGCCAUAUCAUAAAAAAUGUGGGGCCAGGGACCUUUUUCAAACAAAAAAAAAAUUUACAGGGAUGUUUUUCAAACUUUUAUUUUACAGGGACGAAAAUGAUAUUUAAGCCUUAAAGAAAUAUCUCAAAGUUGUUCCUUGUGGAAAAAGCAUAUGACAUCAUCAUAUAGCAUAAAGAUGACAUAAACACAUCUUAUCAAGUGGCUAGCAAGCUUCUACAACAAUAUUACAGCUGAUAACAACUUGCAAAACGUGUUCCUUCUUUGUACAAGUUUGGCUGGUACAGAGAGAACGUUAUGGAGAACGUUCUGGGUAAGAAAAACCAUCAAAGAAAGAUCUCAAAGUUGUGCCUUAGCAUAUGACAUCAUGCAAUGACAUCAAGCUUGCAUCAUCUUAAGUGGCCUCCAAGGCUUCUACAAUCAGGCAUAUAACUCGUUACAUCUUGCAAAAACGUGUUGCUCUGUGCCCAAGUUAUGGCUGGAAUAGAGAGAACGUUCUCGGUGAACAGUUUCAUGCUUUCUCUCCAAGCAUCAAAUGGAGCCAAUUUAUUUUGAAUUUGAAUUGAGCUCCAAUAGCUCUUUUUUGACUUGUUCUCCAAGGAUACAUCUCCUAUAAAUAGAGGACGUCCAUGAAGGUUAAUAGCAAGAGUUUUGAUAUACAAAAGCUUUGACAUCUCUCUCUCUCUCAAAGCUAAAGAAAUCAUUAUCUUCAUCAAUCUCUUUAACAUCUCUUUCGACAAUCACAAAGCAAACUCCAUAAUCUUUCACUAUAUUUAUCAUCUUUAUCUCUCAUUGAGAACAUCUUUCUGAGUUUGUAUUUGUACAAGGAUAGUUUGUUUGAGACGCUAGAUCCAAACAACAUCUUUCUCAUUUUCGUUUGAGACAUUAGAUCCAAACAAUCAUCUUACAAAGAGAUAACUAGAUCUCAAGUCUAUUGGGCUUAAUAGUUUGAGAUAGGAAGAGUUCCAAGCUUUCUUGUGCAAAAGCAAAGAAUUGUAGAAGCCUGCUGAGGUUGAUAAUACAAGGGUUACAGACUGAUCUGGUGUGAUCAAGACCUUAUAGUGUUGGUUAGAAGUUUCUACCAACUGAAUACUAUAGUGGAUAAUCUCACACGAAAUGUGGGGACUGUGGAAGUAACCGGGAUUGGUGAACCAGGAUAACUCUCCUGUGUUAUUCUUCUUUCUCUCUCCCUCUCUAUCUUUUAUUUUUACACAAUAUGCACACACUAUCACACUCAUUAAUAUUUAUAACUCCUCUCUCCCUCCCUCUCUCCUGUGUUAUUCUUCUUUCUCUCUCCCUCUCUCUAUCUCUAAGAUAUUCUGGUCCUAAUUAAUCACAACCAAAUUAAUCCAGAGUUCUCUGGUCGUUAAAUAACCAUUAAUAUUGUUUUAUCAUUCAGCUUAAUAAUUAAUUAUAACUGCUUUAUAUUUAUCCAGAGUUCUCUCGUCCUUAAUUAACCAUAAGAUUAUUUUAUCAUUCAGUUUAAAUAAUUAAUUAUAUAAUUAUUAUCCAGAACAUUCUGGUCCUUAGUAAAACUGCUUAAUUAUUUAAACCUUACUUUAUCCAAAACAUUCUGGUCCUUGAUAAAACAAUUGUUUAAAUAUCUAAAUAUUUUAUAAUCUUCUUUUAUCUAACAUUUACCAAGAAUUUUCUUGAGUACAUAAACUUGUUAAGUUUCAGGAUUAAAUUUAAAAAGGGUCACAAUUCAAACCCCCCCUUUCUUGUGACUAUUUCUUCCACUUCAAUGAUGAGAGGUUGUUUUGUGUUACCUAAAACCAAAUGGUUGACUCCGGUCCUUGAUGUGGACUUGAAGAGGCUUUAGGUUUAUUAUAAACAUUGUAUUGGGUGCGUGAUCUAUAGCUAGGUAUUGUGGAUUUUGGCCUUGAUUCCAAAAAUGUGGUGGAUAGUCUCUAUGGUAGAAAAAGUAACGUUACUAAUUAUAGUGCAGUUAUAAUUGAUUGUAGACGCAUGUUAGCUUGUGAUUUAGCAAUUGAUGAUGUUAGGUUUAAUCAGAGACAAGCCUACGAAGUCGCUGAUGUUAGUUUCUAUAUUCAUACUAAGAUUACAUCGUGUAUCUCAACUAUUAUGCAAUAAGUUUCUUUAUGUCUAAAAAUAAUAAUUCAUUUUCUACUCAUUGUCCAAGAGUAGCACCUCUUAAGCAACCAUACAUCAACACCACUUCAGCGCCACCGUCAAGGGCACCACCAAACAAUGACUCUACCAUAACUCUUACAUCCUCGCCGUAGUCAAAGUCAUUGAAUCCCACCCCCAUCGUCGAUCUAUGAUUUUCCCCUGGUUCCGUCCUGGCCUCGACCAAAACUACAAUCGCCACCAUAAAAGGUUCUAUCUUCACUCCCGUCAUCGGCACCACCUCCAAAACCACCUAAUUGCAUCUCUAUUUACGGAAUCAUUGACUUUGAGGACAAGGUCAAUUUUGAAGAGCAGAGUAGUGAUAACAUUAACCAAGAGGAAGAAAUUUCGGAUAACGUAUAACAAAUGAUGUUAAAGUGAAGGGAUUGCAUUACUAUCCAGGAACAAUAAGAUUAGCAGAUAAUAAUAGGAAGGUAGUUUUAUAUUUGUUUGUUAUGUUCUGAGUAAUAAUAGAUAAUUUAGUUGUAUAUCCUUAGAUAUUAAUAACUUCGUUUUUUUUUGUCAAAUUGUCUAGUGGUUAAAACUCACAUAUUUUUUAUUAAAAAAAAAAUAACUAACACAUUUUAAAUAUGGACAUAAGUAUUUCGUGAUUAUAUAUUACCGAAACUUCUCUGAAGGACAUAAAUCUAUAUUUCAUUUCUUGAUUGCUUUUCAGAGAAGUUUCGAUAAUAUAUAAUACAAUAACAAUAUUGACUUGGGUUCCAGUCUACUUUCUAUAAAAAAUAAAAAAUAAAAUGGGUUUAUGCCACGUUGUAUAAAAUAACAAUAAUAAAAUAAAUAUAAUAACCAUAUUAAUUAAUAAAAAACAAAGAUAAGAAAUGUGAUUAAGAAAGGAAGGAAGGAAAAAUCCAAAGUGUCUUCUAGGAGCAAAGGUGUCAUGACAUUAUUAUUAGUAUUUUUAUGGAACAAUAUUUAGGGUAGCAUGCCUCAUUCUAGUUAAGAAAAAAUUCAAGGUUCAAUAAAUGCUUGCAUAAAUUCUUACAUACUAUUCAUUAAUUAAAUAUAAGUUGUAUUCUUACUAAAUUGCUGACAUGACAUUAUUCUUUAACAAGCAUACAAAAGAUAUGACAUUAGAGAUAGUGACCCUUUAAGUAAAAAUAUGUACAUCCUCUAGUUAAUAUUAUAAACAAAAAUUAGCAUUUUAUAUUCAUUCAUUAAAUUAUAUAUGUGGUUAAUAAUAAAGACUAUAUACAUUAUUUAAUGAAUGAAUUUGUCAAUAUGCGUGGUCAGAUCAGAUGCAUAAAUGUGUAAGACGCUGGGUGAAUAAAAGAUCUGGAGUACAAAUCCGAACCACCAAAAAAAACUUACAUUGUGAAUUCAAUUUCCUAUAUUAAAACUUACGGUGUGAAUCUAAUUUCCUGUAUUAAAACUUAAGGUGUGAAUCUAAUUUUCUAUAUUAAACUAAAUAGCUGUUAGAUGAGGUCCAUUUCUUUUUAUUUGUUUCUUACCAAUCAAUUUCAGUAACCUUUAAACAAAUGUCAUAUUGUUGAAUCGUGAACUUUCUUCACACGUUCAAUGGCUGGUCCAAUUUAGAAAAUAUUAAUGAAUACAUGCUUUGAUAAAUUAUUUAUCAAAAACUGAUUUAUAUACUUUUUACACACAAGGAAUUGAGUUGGACAAACCCCUUCACUCCGACCUCAUCCCCCAAUCCCUCCCACCGCCAAUUUCAAGUGUGUUUAGCUGAGAAAAAGUUAUGUAAUGUUUUGAAAAAGUUAUAAAGUAUUAUGUUUAAGUUAAAUUGAGUGAAUUUUAAAUGAUAUUUAAGAUCUAAGAAUUUCAAAUUAUUUCCUAUUAGAUAUAUCUUUCAAAAUUUCCAAGUUGGUCCCCAUAUUUUUCAAAAAAAAUAAAUUAACCCUUAAAUAUUUAAAAUAAAUUGCAAAUUGAUCCUUACAAUUUCUUGAAAAUUAUAAACCGCUUUCAAUUUUUGAAUUCUACAAAUCAGCCCUCAAUUUUUCAAUUUUUCAAUUUGGCCCAAAAUUUUAUAAAAUAUAAAAGUAAGUAGCACAAAAAUAUAACUGAAGUAUUUUAUCACUGUAUCCAAACAAAAAUAUUAAAAAAUAAAGGGAUCUAGCGUCGAUCAUCUCACAAGGUGUUGGGAUGAUUUAUACCGCCGCUAUGAAAAUUAGAACUUUAAGUGCUUGUUUGGUGUAACACUCCUAUUUCUAUUAAAGCAAUUAAACAUGCAAAUAAUACAUUUAUUCAAGAAAUAGAGGCUACGCCACAUUCAAAAUUCAAAAACCAAUAAACAUGUAUAUAAACCUCAACAGUUGCAGCGGAAUAUAAAUCAGAGUAAUCCAAAUGUAUACAUGUCAUGAAUAAUAAAUUACAUCACAUAGAUGCAUCUCAAAAAUCCCAAACAAAACGGAUAAUCUCCAACAUAACAAAAUCCAAAAAUAACCUAAUCUAGACCGACACAACAAGCCUAGAUCAGAGCCAACUCAACACCGAUAUCGGAGAAAGCUCCCGAUAUCCCAAGCACAAACUCACCAAGCACUACUCCUGCACAACGUCUACCCAUCCAUACAGAUAGGUAGGCGGUUAAAACCACUAGGGUAAGUAUUACAUUAUCAUAAUCCAAAUAACAGAUAACAUGAGUAUUUCAAUAUAAACAUCAUGCAUUUGAUCAAUAGUAAUCACACAUUAAUACUUACAUCACAUCCCAAUAUCUCACAUCAAUAAUCAUCAAUCACAUAAACAGUUAACAAUUCACAAAUAUUCAUUCACAAUCUCCAAACACAAAUAUUCAUGAAUAGUCAUUAAUCACAUUUCACGAACAAUCACCAAUCACAUUUAUCAAACAAGACUCAUGUCAUGAUAUGCACUUAUUGACACAUAAAUGCAUGUGGUACCAAAUCUCCAAAAGGUCGUCACCUCCGAUGGAACAACUCAACAUCGUAUGUAAGGGUUCACACCCGCCUUACAUAAUCUCCGAAGUAAAAGAGCACAACCUUUUUACAACUACACGACUAUGAUGCAUGGACAUGUAAAAAAACUAGAUAAUGCGACAACAAUCACAAUUUUCUCCACAAUAUAUAGGAAAACACCCAAUUAUAUUGUUCAUCUCCACAUCAUUUGCAUUAUCAAGAAAACAUGCCCAUUCAUAAUUAAAUCAUAGUAUUCAUCAUUACACAUCAACGUGAUUAUCAAUAAUCAACGAUGUCAUUCAAUCAUCAACUAUCACAUAUAGUUUCACAAAUUCAAACAUUCCUUACAUCUUAAGUAAGAUAGCAUACACUUCUCAUGAUAAUUAUCAUAUCCAAAAUACAAUCAUUCAUUCAUACAACUUCACUUAGUCAUAUAAGAAUGAUCACAACAAUUCAUAAGACAAUACGACUUAAAGAUUCACUAGACCCCCUUUUCACAAGGUUAAUUCUUCCAUAAAAACACCCCUAGAUGAUUAGGAUAAAGUCCCUAUACAUAGAAAUAAGUUUGGAAACAAUUGGAUCAAAGAAAAUUGCAUUUUAAAAGUUUCUGGUCAGGCAAAAUCGUAGUCCGAAUUUUCCCCAUCGUAGUACGAUUUUUUUCGAGCUGAAACAACCCAAAAUCUGGUCAAAAUCGUAGCCCGAUGGAUAAAAUUGUAGUCCGAUUUCUGCCUGACAGACAACAUCAGAUUUUCCAAUUUUCACGUUUUCGCGCGUAAAAACCAAACCGUUAAUCCGUUUUCGGUGCCGUUUUCACCUACUUGUUCAUGACACUUAGCCCUAUCUUAAUGUACAGAAAAAUUCAAGUUUCAACAUUCCCAAAUUCAUUUUUCAAAGCCUUACACAACACUCAUUUUCCAAAACGGUUAACAAUUGAAUUUUCACCCGAAUCUCCCGUUUUCUCCCAAAACGACUCGACUAUCACAACUACAACCUAAAAACAGAAAUUCCAUCAAGUUUAACUCAUCCAACCACAUAGACAACUCAGUCAACAACUUUGUAUAUCAAAUUUCACUUUGGUCCUUCACAUGACCAUCUAGCACAACUUCACCAAUACAAACAACUUACUUCAUGAAAUGGAAUACCCAUGUUAUCAUUCAACAACAUCAACAUAUCUACUUUAACAACACCUCAUUUAGACAUGAAUUCAAUCAUAAUUCAAUUACACAAUAUCCCAAUCCAACAAUUGAGCAAAACACAUAAGUAUCCAUUUUCACCAAACCAACAACAACAACUUAUUUCACAACAACAAACUAUGAAUCAUGCAUACCCAAGCCAUGAAUUAGCAUCCAUAACAUCACUUAACAACAACAACAUCUAUUGAUCAUGAAACAUAUCACAAUUCAUCAACAACCAUCCAUAAUUCACCAUUUGAGCAUAAUUUACAAACUACCCAUUUUCAUACAUCAUGAACUUGCAAUUUCAUAAUCAACAAUUCAUUUAACAUCAAAUUAACACAUUCAAACAUAUCUCUACAACAUAAGCAAGAAUUUCAAAGAUUGGGUUCAUGAUAAUCACUUAUUCCCAUAAUCAAUUAUGCAUAGAACAAGAGAAAAAGAAUUAACUAAAUGAUUAUGAUAAAGACUAACCCCCUUACCUUAGAUGAAGAUUAACCCAAACUCUUGCUUCAAUUCAGCUCCUAAGCUUACCCAAAUUGAUUCCUCAAGCUAUUCUCUUCAAAACCCUUGUUCUUCUCUUCACCUCUUUCUCUCUCUACCUCUCUCUCUAGGAAAAUUUUAUGAAGUGAAUGAAAGAUAUUUUUUUUCUAUGACAACCCUAAUGUUAUCUCCCUUAAUGGGCUUAACUUAGUUUCUAGUGGGCUUAACCCAUUUCUAUUCAAACCACAAAUAUUUCUCUUUAACUAAUAACGGUAAAAUAUAACCAACGGUCACUAAACGGUAAAAACUAAUCACUACACUAGUAACUUAGUAAAAUAAGGGUUCUCACUAAAUAUUAAAGAUAAUUCUUACCAAAAUUUCCAUUUUACCCUUACCCGCCAAAUGACCAAAUACCCUUCUAAUACGGUAAUCUAUGUAAAUGCACCCAAUGACAAUUAAAUACACACAAGCACAAAUAAUCACAAACAAACACAUAAUAAAAGUAAUUAAAAUAAAUCUAGCUAAAAAUCGGGCUGUUACAUUUGGCACCACGUUUUUGGGCUCCAAACGUGGUUUAUUUUUGCCAAACGUGGUGUUGCACUUUUACAUGCUGUUUGGAUGACGAAAAAGCAAGUUUCUGAAAAGCGGUUUAUGUCUCCAAAACGCAAUUUUCUUGAAGCUGGAAUUCGGAGCUUCUACGGCAGAUAAAAACCACGUUUAAGCCUUUAAUUUCUCAAGUGGCAGGUACUUACCUAAUUACCCCUAAAUUCAAGCCUUCAAUUUCUCUUUCUCAUAGUUUUCUUCCUUUUCAUUACUUCACAUCACUUUCAAACUUAAAUUUUCUGCUAAUUGUGAAGAUUUUGCAUAUCCAAGAUUUCAAUUAUCUUCAGCUUUUCCCCAAUUUUUUCAGAUUUCAUGGUUAAUCUCAUUACUCAUGGUAGAUGUGUUGUUUGGGUGAAUUUAUUCCUUCAGCUUUUCCCCUAUAUAUGAUGCUUAUGAGCUACUUGUGAGAACCAUUCCAUUGCUCUGCCAAGGCCUGAAGGUAAAUACAUAUUCAUAUUUUUUUUGCUUUGAUUACUUGCUUCAAUAUUGUUAAUUUCUAUUUCUCUUUGCUCUAUUUGUUACAAGUUUUACAUUAAUUUUUCCAUCCUACAUCAAUGCAUUGUAUGUGUUUGAUAAAUAGUCUCAAAGAAAAAAAAAAUUCUUAUAUUGAUAUGUUUAUGUUGAUGAAUUUUCUUGACCUGUAGAAGUGAUUGUUUUGUUAUUAUUGAUGUUUAUCUUUAUUUUUAUUUUUUUUUAUUUUUUUGUGUUUUUAGCAAGGAGUCUAUUGUUUUUGUUUAAGGUACUUGGUGUGUUCAAAGUAAUUGAAUGAACUAACGUAAGAAAAGAAACUUAUAGCUUCAAGCCAUUGUUGUAAUUCUAAUUUUUGUGCCUUUACAAAAAAUUCCAAAGUAACAGAAUUUCUUCUAACACAAAGUAACAGAACUCACUCUUAGCACAAAGUAACAGAACUUCUUCUUGUAUUGUUUUUGUUUUCUGUUAUCAUUUUCAUUUGCACAAAACAAGGAUAUUGGUGUUAGUUUGAUCAAGUUGCUUAUGUAUAGUUUGUUUCAUUUUUUUUUUUGGGUUAAUAUGUCUUUACCCCCUGUAAUUUGGGCGAGUUUCGGUUUACCUCCUGUAAAAAUAAAAGUUUAGAUUCCAACCCUUUAAUAUGAAGAUUCUUCAAAAAACACCCCUAUAAUAUUAAGAUUCUCCACAAAACACCCCUGACCCCAUCCAGACGCUGAUGUGGCACGCCAUUGUGUAAUUAUUUUAAUUUUUUUUAAAACCUGACACAUGUGUAAUGGACGCUGACUGUAUAAUUUUUUUUAUUUUUUUUUAUUUUUUUAAAGGGUACACGUGGCAUUUGUGAUUUUAAAAAAAAAUAAAAAACGAAAACAAUUAUGGAAAAAUUAAUAAAAAUAAAAAAUAUUCUGAAAAAUAAAAAAAAAUAGCGAAAAAAUUAAUUAAAAUAAAAAAUAUGAUUAAACAAAUUCCGGAAAAUUUAAUAAAAUAAAAAAUAAUCUGAAAAUUUUAAUAAAAAUGAAAAAGAAUCUGGUAAAAUGAAAAAUAAUGAAAAAAAUUUGGAAAAAUUUUAAAAAGUUCUAGAAAAUUUUAAAAAAUAAUAAAAAAAUCUGGAAAAAGUUAAAAAUAUGAGAAAAAAAAUUUAUAUUUCUGGAAAAUUCAGGACCUUAAAAUAUUUCAAAAUUCUUGAAUAUAAUAAGAAAAUAUAUUUUAUUUUUAAAAAAAAAAGGUUCAGAUUUUUCUUUCGAAAUUAAUUUUUUUUUUAUUUUUUUAUACAAAAAAUAAAAAUAUUGGAAAAUAUUUCAAUAAUUAGAAAAACAUAACAUUAGAACAUGAAGAAUAGAAUUAAGGGCUUGUUUUUCAAUAGUAUAACAUGACUUAUAUACCGGUGUCAAUCAAAAUUCAUUGUAUCUUGUUAUUCAUCUAGAUUAUAUUUUCGAAUAAAAUAAAAUUCUAGAAAUAAAUUUUCAUAAUCAAAAUAACUAUAUAAUAUUAUAUUUUUCGAUUUUUUUAUAAUUUAAAUUUAAUUCAGAUUUUUUUUUAUAUUUUUUGAAAAUUUUGAUAUAUAUAAAUUUUUUCCAGAAUUUUUUAUUUUUUUUGAACUUUUUCCAGAUUGUUUUGUUUAUUGUCGUGAUUUUUUUCUUAAAUUUUCUAGAUUUUUUAAUUUUUUCAGAUUUUUUUUAUUAAAUUUUCUAUAUUUUUUCAUAAUUGUUUUUUCAUUUUAAUAAUGUUUCUAGAAUUUAUUAUUUUAUUUUUAUUUUAAAAAAAUAUAUACAAAUGCCACGUGUACCCUUUAAAAAUAAUAAUAAUACAGUCGUCACGCUACAUAAUCAGAUAUGCACAGUCAGCAUGCCAUUUCAGCUCGCCACGUCAGCAAUUCUGUACAGUCACAUAGGUCAGGGGCUAAAGUCAAAUAAUCUUAUUUUACAGGGUUGGAAUCUAAUCUUUUUUUUUACAGGGGGUAAACCGAAACUCGCCUAAAUUACAGGGGGUAAAUACAUAUUAACCUUUUUUUUUUUUUUUAUCAUACUUUUGUGUAUAUAGUAAUAUGGACUCACUUAAGAGAAAAGUUUCUGCUAACCCCCCUUCAACUAACAAUGAGGGUCAAAGUUUCAAAGCUAGUUUAAAUAUUAGUUUGCAAUAAUUUUCAAUAUUAUAUUGCACUUGAACUUAUAUUAUCUAUUAUCUAUAUGUAAUAUACUUUAGAGCCUUGCCAUUUUUUAUACAUAUUUAGAAAUCUAUGAUUAUGUAUUAAUAAUUUACGUAUAUUUUAGUUUACAAUUGUGUAAUUUCUCAUUUGUUUUACAUCUUUUUAUGCUUAUAUUAUUUUAUUAAAAAUCACCCAAUUGAUAAAAAAAAAUAAUAUUAAAAAUAACAUAAAUUUAUAUUAUUUUAAAAUUAAUUUUAGAACCAAUAGAAUUCAUGUAUGAUAAGUUGAAAUAAUUUUUUUUUAUGAGAAUGAGUUUUAAAUACAAUUAAAAUGAUAGUUUAGUCAUUAUACAUUCAAAAUCAAUUUUGAUUCAAACUAUCCAAACAACAUCAACCCGCAAGAAUCACUUUUAGUAUCCAAACAUAAAUCAAUUCACAUUCAACUCACUUUUAACCAAAAUCAAUUCUCUCAAACUCAAUUCUAUCAAAAUCAAUUCUCCUCGCCGCCAUACCAAACACACACUAAGAUUAAGAAGGAAAAGAUGAAGGGAACUGGCUACAAAUGGUAUUAUUAAUGUGGCUUGGUGGAACUCUUUACCCUUCUUUACUAGGGAUGACUUUUAUAAAGACCACUAUGGAUUUUUAAAUUAUCGUUCUCCAUAUCUCUUUGUAUUUUAAUUUUGUUUUUUGUUUUGGUUUGGUCCUCCUCUAGUACGGUUUUUCAUUUUUUUAAUAAUUUUUUUUUAGAUCAAGCUGGCAUAGGAUGGGGUGGUUUUGGAGUGUGAACAUAGUUGGAAUGUCAAACCUUCUUUUGAUGUCUUCUUUUGCUCAUGAUUUAGAAGGAAAAAAAAAAUUUAAUUACAAUAUAUUUCUCUAAAUUGAUUGAUUUCUUUCCUAAAGACACAACAGAAUUAAUCAACUAUAAUUGAUUUAUUUUUUUUACUUGGAUGAAAGUGAUUCAUAUGCCAAACAGAGCCUAAGUAAUUAAAAUAACAAAUUAGUUUAAAAAGGUAACUACCUGGAAUACGCAUUAGAAUGAAUCAGUAUUAGAGAGAUUAGAAACACCAGUAUUGAUUUGUGAGAAAACCAAGAUCUUUGAUCUGUAUCAUUUAAAAAGGAAAGACCAUCAACAGAACCAUUAUCAUUCUUCUUGUCUUUCUUCUUUUUUGACACAAAAUCAUGAAACUUGAGUAGCUAUACUGCAAUAGGGAGAAAAAGGAAGAAGAAAGACGAUUCAUUUAGUGAUGAAGCAGAAGAAGUUUGAAGAAAGUGGUAUUGCUAGCUUCAAUGACAUUGCUGAGGAAAAUAAAUAGAGAUCUAUACACAAAAUUAUGAAAGACAAGAAGAUUCAUACCAAUUGAACAGCAAGGAUGUUUCUGGUCAUCUUCAUUUUCAAUGUUGGAGCUUAUGACUUCACCUCCAAUUGAUGUAGGUUGUAACUCAUCAUUAUAAUUUCCCUGGCCAUCUUCACUUUCAUUGUUAGACCAAUCAGACCCCACACCAAUUUCCCAACCAUCCAGAUUCGACUUAUGUUCUAAGUUAUAUACAGGUAAGACCCCACACCCCUUUAUCCCCUCUGUUGACCACCACAAUUCUUCAUUGAAAUCUUGAUGCAUGAAUUGAAAUGAUAGGUUGCAAUCAUUACUUCCAUGUUUCCGUCUGUUGUAAGGAUGCCAACAUAUCAAUACGUGAUCUGAAAUUAAUGUCCCAUUAUAUUCGUAAACAACAAGAAUACACUUGUCGACUUCUUUGCCGUGUUCAAAGAUGACACAAUGCAGGGGGUGAUUGAGAUCAUGGAAGCCCUUAGAAAGAAUGGUGCAGAAUACGAAACCAGACAGGUUAUAUUUUGGAAUCGGAGGAAUGGUUAUUGAAGCCUUCAUUGUUUGAAAAUCAAACUUGCGAGGAACUUGUGCUCCUGGCAAGAAAUAGACAUCAUAAUAGGAACGGUUAUUGACAUCUUUAUUUGCAUGAAAAGGGUCUUUAGAGAAGAUUUGUACUAUGUUCUCAAGAAAUGACCGUUGAGUGGAGUCUGUGUCCAGAUAAGUGCAAUUAAUGGCACUCAAACAUAAUAGGGAUGGCGGAAGCUCUGUUAGAGACACAAGUUUCCUGCAAUCAUCUAAAACUAGCCAUUUUAGCAUUGAAUGGUUUCGUAUGUUCUCAGGGACACAUUCCAAGUUGCAACAAUCUUGCAAUGAGAGCCGUUUCAAAGAUUGUAUGCCAUCAAGGAUGGACCACAGACUUAAUGCAUUGAUUUCUGUGCACCGUGAAAGGUUUAGUUCUAUAACAGACCCAAGUCCAUGAUCAUCUGAUAACUUAUUCCCAACAAUGUUAAGCUUGUUACACUCGGUUAGGGAAAGAGAAGUAAGUUUUCUGUUACGCCAAAUCGAUGAAGACAAUUCACGUAUAGCAGUGCCAUCUAAGGUCAACUCUGUCAUUUCAUCCGAUGUCACUGAGAAUUCUGUGAGAGAAGAACAACCAUCGAGUAAGAGUUCACAAAGAGAUUUUGAAUGAAUGUUGGUUUUAAGGCUUUCAAUCUUUUUGCAACCUCGUAAAUCUAGAUAUCUA
rnacentral:lncRNA from 1 species